UAUAACUCUAAAUUAACCAACCUAACUGAUUCAGCAUGUUUAGUCCUUUAAUCUUUGUUCUUAGUACUACCUUCGUGAUCCCACACUCCUAAUCAUAUAAGCUAAUAUGUUGCACAUUCAAUCUUUGGAAGAUAUAAACAAAACAUAAAUAUAGAUAGAUUAUCUUUCCAUUAGGUUGAGCCAUCUGAUCUGACAAAUGCUACACUCAUGAUCCAUCAACUUUGUCUUGCUCACUAUGCUUAAGGUUAGAGAAGAACAAAUACACUUUUGGUUCUGUUGGUGUUUUCCACCAACAGGGCCCAUGCACUUGAUCUCUGCCUUGUCUCUAUGAGCAGGAACACUUCGAGCAUAAUAUGAAGCAGUUUUACAACUCCCAGACUCCACCAAGUGAAGAACCAGGAUCUACGAGCACAAACAUACUGGAGAUACUGGACGCUCAGGCAAUCACUGCCCUGAGAUGCUUUCGGACGUGAACUACAUCAACAACAAUAACAACUAUUACUACAACCAUCCUCAACAACAUCAAGGUUGGAAUCAACAUAGGCCUAAUUACUCAGAGAGGUGAUCCAGGACGCCCCGUCAUCUCGAUCUCCAUCGGCAUGGUGGACUUCCCAGAAGCACUCUGCGACUUUGGCUCCAGCGUCAACAUUAUGCCCAGGGUUGCAGAUCGGACACUCAGUUUCCCAAAGGAAAUAUUGAAGAACCUCUAUGUCCGAGUUGGUACCUUGUACACUCUAGCAGACUUCGUGGUGAUAGAGACUGGUACUGAGGAGAGGGCACCCAUCAUCUUAGGGAGGCCAUUCCUAAACACCAGAGCUGUCAUCUACGUUAAUGCUGCCAAGAUCAGUUUCUACAUCAAGGGGAAGAAGGAGACUUUCCUUCAAGAACAAGACUACACAAAUUUUAGAGUAAUUCCGACACGAACCAAGGAAGAGGACCAACAGGAGGAACAGGAACAAGCAAAUGUGGACCGAGUCAGCUAAGAUGGUCACUGCAGUUCAAAGAGGUCAAAAUCGUCGACUGAAGUCGCCUUUCCUGAUCAAGAAGGACGACCCUAGUGUUCCAAGCAUCGAGUGCACAAUCAAUGGAUACUCUUUUCAGAAGACACUCUACGACACCGGAUCUGACGUCAACAUAAUGGCCACAGUCACUUAUCAGCUCCUGUAUGGAACCAUGCCCCUACAACCAAUAUAUAUUCAGCUCCAGAUGAUUUUCAGAUCAUUGACAUGGGAGAAGACGAGUACGAUCCACCCAUCAUCCUUGGAAGACCUUUCCUCAACACUAUCAAAAUUAUCAUCUACAUUGGAAUCAGAGAAGUCCACGUGUACUUCCCUUUUGAGAAGGUACACCGCUAUUUUACUGACCCUAACUAUAUAGUUGAAGACUCUAAGCAGGUCAGGACAAGAAGAAGACAACGCAACCGCAACCAGAGGAGGCAAAUCAUCAAGGACGGAUGGGUAGACUACGAAGGAGAAGUGAUAAGGUUUGAAGACAUAUAGUUUGAACAGAACUGUCCUGAGGAGACCAUAGCACCGAGUCAGGUGUGGAGAGAGAAGAUAGUUAGACACGAAGAGGAGGCGCCGCCGGAACCACCGACUACGCCACCCAGCGACUCCCACGACGACUGAGAAAACGAAGAGUCCCGUUCGGAGGACUUAAAAAUACAGAACACCUUGCCAAGAGGUAAACUUGGUAGUUAUCCUUUUCCAUUCAAUAGUUUGCUUAGAUAAUCAAGUUCAUGCUAUCUUGAAAAGAAAACAAAAAUGUUAAAAAAAUAGUAAGCCCCGUGUGAGUAUGCUCAUGGAAUAAAACCCAUAAGUACAUUCACUGUGGUGCCAUAAAAAUAAAAUAAAUAAGUCUUCAUCUUACAAUAAAAAUAUAAAAAUAAUAAGUGCAUGAUCCUGCUAAAUAAGUAAUAUUUAUUGAGGAGGCUCAACAUGAUAAAGGCUAGAUAUUUAUGCUAACACUUAACCAGUUCCACAAAGCUUUGUUGUCUAUUUGAGCUCCACAGGAUUCAAGGAUCAAAAAAGACUAGCAGACGGAGAACAUCCUAAUCGCUGUCAGGGUGCUGCCGACUUUCAAAUACACCUCCACCCCUGCUAGCUACAUCAGAAGAAAUUACGCCAAAAUCCAGCUUGGGGGAGAGCACCCCCAUUUAUCCAGCUAAGUGUUUCUACUCGCAUUUAUACUCAAAUAAUAAAAGAUGCAUAAUCAUGAAAACCCAAAUAAAGAUUUUGUGCUUUUAUAUAUCUUUGCUUAGUUUGCUAAAUAAAUAAAUAAAUAAAGUUUGCUAUGAACCCUCAUGAUAAGCUCUCACAUGGAAAUGAUGAAUAGUUGCUCUGCCAUGACUAGUUCUUAAAAUUGAAAUCUCUCUCAAGUUUAGGCAUAACUAUUAUGAAUUAAGAUUUGCUCUAAACCUGAACUUGUGGGAAGAGUACUUGAUCUAAAGUCUAAGUCGUUAACGGAUAUGAUAUGGGAAGGUUGAGCUGCUGUUUAUCUGUUUCUAGAGAUGCUAGAAUUCUGGAGAAUUUUAUCUUUGAAAAUCUUUAAAAUAACACAUGAUGAGUUCCUGUAUGAUGAGAGUUUAAAAUCCUACCACAACCACAUAUACAUGCUUAUUAGACUAUGAAUGAUAUAUUUACUUUUUACUGCUUAUGAGCAUUGAGUGUGGUCAAACUGUGUAGACCCUUAGGAGCUUGUCAUGUAGUUAAAAUCAAGAUUCACUUGCAUGAUCACUCGUAUAUGCUGCUUCUAUUCCGGAAGUACGCAUCCACAUACAUCCACUCAUUUCCAUCUCCAGAUUCACCCAAAAUUAUUCUACUCCUAAUCCGGGAGAGAAUAGCCAAAAAAACAUUUUUCCUAUCCCUGUUAUUCCCUGUGAAAUAAAUGCUCCAGUUAUUUUGGUUACUACCACUUGCUACAUUAUUUCAAGAGAUGAGUGCUCUAAAAAAAGAGAAGAAAAAAUAAUAAUAAUAAUAUACGAGGAAAUAAAAAGGGGCAAGUGCUCGGAACCUCGAAGAAAAGAAAAAGUGAGACGAGAGGUAAAAAUGGACAAGCGUCUGACAGUAGAAUUAGGGGUAUAAGAUACCCACCUGAGAGGAAAGAAAAGAAAAUAUAGAGCAUCUCAUUCUCCUCAAAAAGCUUCAAAGUGCAAGAAUGGUAUGUAUCCCCUUAAAAGAGCAAAAGUAGAAUUAGACUUUCACCAUUGUUAUCACCAUCAUCACCAUACACCAUUCAUUCGCCACACAUGCACACCUUGAUUUGACUUAUUGACUUGUUUCUCUGGAUCCAUGGUUUGACUAUGCACUAAAUGUCUUGUAAGUAUGUAUUAGCUGUCUCCCACCUAUGAGCUCCAGAUAUCAAAACCUUAUUAGAGUAGGGUGAGAGAGAAGGCAAUAUCACUAUGCAUUAUACCAAAAAUACCACAUACUUUGAGAGAAGGCAUAUACCAUUACUGCCUUGGUAAGGAUCCAUAAAUACCACAAAAGAGAUAUCUGAGAGAGUCAUACAAGGAAUCUCUGAGUUUUAUUUGAAAAUCUACAAAAAACUCCAGAGCUAUAGCUGAUCAAGAAUAAGAGACAUGGCGCUUGACUUGACCGUUCUAUCUUUUAACUGCUCAAGACACAAGUGACGGUUACAAGCCCCAUGGUGAAAGGUAAAAUGAGUAAGUUUUAAGUCUUAAGAGUUUAUUCUAACUCAAAGAUAAGAUCUUGCUUGAAUGCGUGUGUACUUUUAAGGCAUAAAACCACUGCAGAAACUCUUGAGUUCAUCCUUGCUCAGGGACGAGCAAGAGGUAAGCUUGGGGGAGUUGUUGACGGUCAUUAAGUACCAAAUAUAAUCAUCAAAUAAAUAAAGAAAAGGAUCCAAAUGCAACCAACACCUAGACUUAGGGUUUUAUCUGACAGAAUUCCACGAGUUUUGGUGUUUGUCUAUUUCUGCAGGGGGUUAUCUGGAAAUAUGAAAGAAAGGCCCACAUGUCGGGAUUACAUAGAGAUAUCAACGCACUGCGUAAUUUUCUACCAUCUAGAGGACUCCAGAAGCAACGAGAAGAAAGCAGAGGCCGAAAGGGGCCAGGCCCAGGGCGCCCGCCCUCUUUCCCUAGGCGCCCGCCCUGUCGUGGACUCCGUUCGGGACUCUCUUCGCAAACGAUGUUCCACCGACCUAAAUGAUCAAGGAUAACGUAGUACCACAUCGCCUACCGACCCAAAAACGCAUAGAGGAGGAGGACUAUAUAAGGAGACCCCCCUGGCCCCUGGAGAAGACAAGAAGUUAUCAUAGAGUUGAGGGGUGCCCUUGAAGGAAAACCUCUUCUCUAAAUAAUAUUUCUUUUUAGGCUUAGCAUCCAAUGUAAAGUAGAAAUAGAUCUUCUAGUUUCUACUAGAUUGAGAGAGAUAGAGUGGAGGUGUAGAUCGGACGAAGGCCGGCCUGUCGGUGUCUACUCCGAGUUGUACCUGCGGGAUCAAGUCUUCUAACCCGAGGCUUGCUCCUAAGAUUCUUCAGUAAUUCGACUUCUAAUUCUAAGUAAGUUCUUGUUUUAUUGUUCUUUGGUUUAUGAGUUUACUUUAAUCCUCUUCCAGUUGAGUAUUAGAGUAAUCACUGCUAGCGUAAACGUGGUGUUUAGGCUAGGGUACUCAUAGAUAUCCCCUAACUAGCUGGACCGUGGUAGUAGCGAGGAAAGUGACAUUUCUGAGUUACCUUUGCAUCCCAUAUCUUGUUAGCAGGACGGGUAGGGUUUAUAGGUGCGGGUCGAACAUCCUUUGUGGUGUCUAGAUUCAGUAAGCUUCCCCAAUAGAACAGUAGAUCAUCCUUACCAAGGUUAGAACGAGACUACGGUUGCAGUCUUCUCUAUACAUCACUCACAUCGAGAAAUAUUCUUUGUAGCCUAAAGGGAUAGUAGCAAUAGAUUUGGUUAGUCAGAUGCACCCUUUCUCCCAGUGGUAAAAAUAUAAAUACGAUAACUCUGGAUAACCUCCCGGGUGAAAUGCUCACUGAUAUCCGUGCGCUUGCGGUCAUUUCCUGAUUGCGUUACCAAAUAUCAACACAGACCCGCACCUCAGCUUCACUUACAGUGCUCUGACUGGUGACCCUACGCCUCCACCUCUACAGGCUCCAGCAGCUUUUACAGCGCCAGUCACCACUACAGAGCGUCUAUCGUCGUCUGUAGCAUUGUACGAGCAGCUUGCACCGUCUUCCACCGUGUCAGAGACGUCAGCUACAGCGACCGAGUCCGUGCCAGCUUCGUCAGCAGGACUCGAGCAGCCAGCACAGCCAGUGACAGCUCCAGCACCUACAGAGCAGACCCGGACCGCUUCGCCAGCUCGUGCAGCUUCAGAGGGUCACUCCACCUCCUCCGCCUCGACGACCGACGGUUCAGACGAUGCAACUCGCUUUGAGGCCGUGCCGAGGGACUCCACUGCUCCACCGCCUCCUCCGUCUUCUUAGGUUUUUGGCGCUUGAUGCCAAAGGGGGAGAGAGUAUGAGUAUGAGAGUUAGGAGUUAGGAGUUAGGGGGAGCUAGAGAGCUAGAGAGUGCUUUUAUUCUUUUGAGAUACUUUUAUGGGUGCUACUCCAUCAAGCAUCACGUCUACUUUUAUGCAUUGCACUUGUGUGAGAUACACCUUGGUUGUGAGACAUGACUUGUCAUGUAUUUGGCUCAUAUUACAUUUGCUUCCGUGUUUUUACUCCGAUGUACUUAUGAGCCUUGUGUUUAUAUCAUGUUGUAUACAACUCACAUAUUUGGAUGCAGGAUGUCAGACGUGGUUGAUAUAAGCAUGACUAAUUCCUUUGCUCUUAUUAUAUAACAUGCUUAUUGAAACCAAGUCAUUUGGAAACCUCAACUCUUUUCAUACUCGAGGUUGUCAUCAAUCACCAAAAAGGGGGAGAUUGAAAGAGCAUCUAGGCCCCUAGUGAUUUCGGUGAUUAAUGACAUUGUUGAUUACUAUGACAAACGUGUGUUUUGCAGAGGCAAAGUCAUAGGUAAGGUCAUGGUAAAUAGGUACUCGAUGGAUAGGGAUGUACAUGCCUACUUAAUAGUGGAAAUCGGUUCGGUUUUCAAAGGAUGGAUGGACAUCGUCAAGACUAGAAUAGGUCUAAGUGCCAUAUGGUGAAGAAGGGCACUUAGAGUAGUUUAGGACAUUGUUUUCCUUUGACCGUACUAUUAAGAGGGGCUUUGAUCUAGUAGCUUGACUUAGGCAAGGCUUUAGGUUUAGGUGUGGUGCACACUUGGUAAACCUAGCACUAGUCAGCUCAGAGAUAGUCCUUAGAUCGAGAGGAACCAACUUCAUUUUGGAGCGAUCGUGUUUCGGCGAAGUUAGGGUGCCCAAGGGGGCACCGGACGCUGCAGCGGACGCUCUGUGAGUGCGUCCGGUGAGGUCCUUAGCCGUUGGCUCAGUGCGGUGCUUAGGGAUAGGCACCGGACGCUGGCACCGGACUCACCGGGCAGCGUCCGGUCCUAUACCCAGGGAGGUUGUAAACCCUCCCCGAGCACCAGACGCACCGGGUAGCGUCCGGUCCCAUGCGCAGGGAGCAUGUAAAACUUCCCAGAGCACCGGACGGUGCACCGGACGCUGGAAGAUAGCGUCCGGUGAUCUGUCAGAAGCAAGUACAGUUAGCCAUUAUGGAGCACCGGACGCUCAGUGCAGUGCGUCCGGUGCAACAUAAUGUGCGUCCGGUGACCCCAUUUUCAGUAGAAAACGGUUGGUCGACCUUUGGACUUUGUGGAUAGUAUUUAUACUCCUCCACCUCGUCCAUGAGAGGUCUCUUGCCCAUUUGAACUUCAGAGAAACUUGUUGUGGAGCAAGAGAGUAGCAAGAGCCUAGAGAGGAUUGAGAUUUGAGUGAUUUCUUGAGAGAAUCCUUCUCUAGUGAGUUCUAAGAGUCAAGUGUGCAUCCACCACUCUCUAGAGCCUUGUUUGGGUCAACUGAGAGUUCUUUGCUUGUUACUCUUGGUGAUCGCCAUCACCUAGACGGUUCGGUGGUGAUUGGAGACACGAAGACCGCCCGGAGUUCUUGUGGGUGGCUCGUGUCAAGCUUGUGAGCGGUUUUGGGCGAUUCACCGCGACGGAGUGUCAAAGAAUCAGCCCGUAGAGAGCACUUGGUCCUUGCGCGGAUCAAGGGGGAGCAAGACCCUUGCACGGGUGCUCCAACGAGGACUAGUGGAGAGUGGCGACUCUCCGAUACCUCGGCAAAACAUCGCCGAGCACUUUCUUCCACUACUCCUUUACAUUCUAGCAUUUACUUUGUGUUUUUACAUUCUUAGAAUUGCCUUGCUAGAAUAGGAUUGGAACUAGGUUGCAAAACUUUUAUCCGGUAGUUCUCUAGGUCACACUGGGCACAAGGGGUGAAAUUGGAUCUUAUAGGUUGCUUAAAUUUUUAGAGAAGCCCAAUUCACCCCCCCUCUUGGGCAUCUUGAUCCUUUCAAGUACCUUUUACUAAUCAUCCCUAUCUCUGGACCUACACAACCUGUAGUUGAUAUGGAUGUUUUCUUGGAGCCCUUAAUACAGGACAUGAAGAUACUGUGGGAAACAGGUGUUCAAAUGUUGGAUGAGUACCGCAAAGAAUCAUUCACACUGAGGGCAAUUAUCUUUGUUACAAUCAAUGACUACCCAGCUCUCUUUACAUUAUCAGGGCAGUUCAAGGGAAAGCUUGGUUGUGUGGUAUUGUUGACGGUCCUUAAGUAUCAAAUAUAAUCAACAAAUAAAUAGAGAAAAGGACCCAAAUGCAACUGACACCCAGACUUAGGGUUUUAUCUCACAAAAUUCUACGAGUUUUGGUGUUUGUCUAUUUCUGUAGGGGGGUAAUCAGGAAAUAUGGAGGAAAGGCCAACAUGUCAGGUUUACAUAGAGAUAAUUACAUGCCGUGCAAUUUUCCCUAACCUAGAAGAGUCCAGAAGCCAUGGGAACGAGCUUGAGGCCGAGCGAGCCCGGGGACAGGGCGCCCGCCCACCCCCCUUGGGCGCCCGCCCUGCUGCUUGGGCCAAUCAGGCUCCGUCUCGCGGAUAAUGCUCCACCGACCUAGAGGAUUAAGGAAAACCGUGCGAUUAAGGUCGGUUUGAUCCGACGGCCCAUGUUCAUUUGAAGGGACUAUAUAAGCAGGCCCCCUGGCCCCUAGAGGAGGCACCUCUGAAACCCUAAUUCAUUCAUUCAUCUCGGGAGAAGAAGUCUCUGAUCAAGCCCUAGAGCCACCACAUCAACUAGAUCUCUAGUUUAGCAUAGCUACAUAGGAUUAGAACUAGAUGGAGUCAAUCUUCGAUUGGUUUACGGAUCUGUCAAGAGGAUUCUUGGUAAUUCCUCUACUGUUCUUCAUUUGUUCAUUAUUUUUCUUCAAUAUUAUGAAUAUGACUCUGUUCUACUUCAAUAUAUUGAUUAUGACUUUGCUCUACUUGUUUAUAUUUGCAAUUAUAUCGUUCUUAGUUUAUCAUAGUUAUAUGCUUGGUUUAGUUAGAUUGGAAUUAUAUACAUGUUUAGGAUCGUAUAGCGUUUAUCCAUGUGUACAGUGGGUAAAUGAUAAGUAUUGCGUAGGCGUGGUGCCUAUAUCGUAUUUAUCUACGAUUGUACCCUAUAUGCCGGAUCGCGGGGUAGUGCGUGGUGGUGACAGCUCCAUUGAUUCUUAUAUACUCCCCCUCCUGUGUAUAGGGUAGGCAGAGCAACAUUAUUACAGGGGAGUGAUUGCUAUGUUUCUCAGCUUCCUUCAUAAUAUCACUAUGUAUGGGCGUAGUCCUGUCUCGCAAUGAUUGCCAAGUAUAAUUGCACUAACUAUGAUAUGCUAGACUUUAUAGUUAAGAAUAACUUAGGAAAUAUUCUUGUAGUUCAUCCUAAUUCCAUGCUAACGACUUGCUAGAAUAUCUGUUGAGGUGCUUAUCAUUAUUAUAUGUGGCUAGUUAUGCUGAUCAGAUUAAUUAUCUUUGUCACCAUUCAUACUUUAUCUAUAUUUUAUGUGACAUUUAUCCCUAUUACACAUGCAAUGAUAGAUACUCAAUUCCAUAUUUCAUUCCAUAAUCAACAUUGAUGAUUAGCAAUCCCUUCCCAGUGGUAAAAAUAUAAAUAACGAUACUUGGAAUACUUCUCGGUUAAAAUGCUACAUCGGUAUUAAUCUGUGCGCUUGCAGAUCUCAUUUAUUAUUUAUUCAGAAGAGCAAUUGCAUAUUUCAAUACCGCGUCUCUCAUCUCAUGCUGGGGAUGACAACUUGGCUUAAGUGGCAUGAGGGAUACGUUUGGCAUUUUUGGCACCGUUAUCAGAAUUAGAAAACUAAGUCUACUUUUGGUAAUGACGUUAAGAAUGCCCAACAGGUAUGCAUAGAUGACACCGCUUAUGUGUCCCUAACUACAUCUAAGAAGAUAGUGUACAUGAGCCACAGACGCUUCUUAUCAAAAGGACACAUGUACCGACUGAAAAAGAUGGAUAAGUACGUUGACAAUAAUAGUGAACUACAGACUACUGCUCCAUCAGGUAACAAUAAAGGCCAAAGAGUUUUCAGCAUAGUCAACAAACUCAAAUUUAUUUUUGGGAAGAAGACAAAAGAUGGAAAACCAAGAAAGAAUGUCAAACCAACUCCAGGGGCUACAUUCAAGAAGAAGUCAAUUUUCUUCGAGUAUUUGGAAUACUGGCCAGAGUUAGACGUACGCCACGCGAUCGAUGGUAUGCACGUUCAGAAGAACGUGUUUGAAAAUGUAAUUGGCACCUUGUUGGACAUGAAGGGCAAGACACAGGAAGGAUUAAAUUCAUAUUUGGACAUGGUACAAUUAUGCAUAAAAAAAGAACUUCACCCUGUUAGGCUAGAAAAUGGGAAGUACCACCUCCCGACAGCAAGCUACAACCUUAACAAUGAAGAGAAACAUGCGAUGUGUGUGUGGUUGAAGAAAUUGAAAGUCCCAUCUGGAUUCUGCUCUAGCAUAUGGAGUAUUGUGUCAAUGAAAGACCUUACACUCACCAACUACAACUCACAUGAUUGUCAUGUCAUACUGACUACUUUUCUCCCUAUUACCAUUAGGGCUAUAAACCCGGUGUGGAUAAAGGUUGCAGUUACACGGUUGUGCUACUUCUUCAACAGGAUCUCAUAGAAGGUGAUUGAACGUGAUGAGUUGGCAUCUCUUAAUGAAUUCAGAGUGGAGACAGUGUCACAGUUUGAUAUGUGUUUCCCCCUAGCAUUCUUCGAUGUCAUGGUUCACCUUGUGGUGCACUUGGUUUCACAAAUAGAGGCAUUGGGUCUCAUGUAUUUGCAUGAGAUGUGGACAUAUGAACAUUUCAUGUCAAUACUAAAUAGCUAUGUAUCAACUCGUGCUCGUCUAGAGGCGUCUAUGGUAGAGGGGUACUUAACCGAAGAGGCCAUUGAGUCCGGAGGUCCAUUCUACAAUAGGGUCCUAAAAGACCAGGUUGCAAUAGGUUUACCUCCGUCACGACACGAGGGUAGGCUGAAUAGAAGAGGUAGGAUGGGAAAGAAAUCAUACGUCCCAAAAGAUUACAAUUCAGUUCUCGAAGCACAUCACAACAUCCUACAUCAGCUCUCGAUAAUGGAGCCUUUGAUCAAUCUACACAUUGAAGAGCUUCAAAAACAUAAUCAUGGGCACACAGAUGAAUGGAUAAUGAAGGAACAUAAGAAUUAGUUCACCUCAUGGCUAAGGGAGUAAGACAUUCUAGAUGGGGAAACAAUUGAGGAUCGCACCAUCAAGGUCUUGGCAUCUGGGCCAUCACGCUAGGUCACGACUUGGCAAACCUAUGACAUUAGUGGCUUCACGUUCUGUACCAAGUCCAAGGUCCAAAAGAGCAUGGCACAAAACAGUGGUGUUCGAUGCGACACCUUAGACUCUGAAACUUGUGAGGAAACAACUUACUUUGGCUUUGUUGAGGACAUAUGGGAACUAGGCUAUGGUACAUUUCAGAUCCCUGUAUUUUGGUGUCAGUGGGUUGAAGACAAACAUGUCACAGUGGACAACUAUGGGGUUAGAGUUCUAGAUCUCAGCAAGGUAGGCUACAAAGAUGAUCCAUGGAUAAUUGCUAACCGUGCUGCACAGUCUUCUAUGCUGAGCAGGUCCUCUCUCCUAAUGAUAAGAAGAAAAUUAUGGACCAUCCAAAGCACGUAGUUUUCCCUGGAAAGCAACAAGCCAUCGGAGUUGAUGGUGUAUCUGACUUGGAUAAAUUUAACCAGUUCAGUGACAUGUCUCUCUUUGUAGACGACCAUCCAGUAAAGAAAAGGAAUGUUGAGCGAAGCAUUCCACAGAGCUCGUUGCCCUAGGUGCGUCAUGAUGGACAAGGAAGAACAAUAGCUGCCUAGAUUUUAUUUGUCAUUUGCCAUGUAAUAUAUUUAUGAUAAAAUGUAUAACUUAUGCUAUGUGCCCUUCUCUAUUUCUACAUGUAAGACCCUAUGCUUAUUUCUACAUCUAAGACUUACCAUGUCAUAACACUUUGAUAUCGUAUUGGUCUCAAACUUUUACGAAGGCUUACUAGCGCCAUUGAUGUUCAAUCCACCAAGUUUGGGAUUUUUCUAAUGUGGUUUGUUACUUUAUCUGGUUUAAUUGAAUUUUCGCGCGACGUCACCCACUAAUUAGCGCUUGAACUAAGUCUACCCCUGAAAUGACUCCAAAUUGUGCCAAACUUCUCCACAGGGUCUUAUAUACCAUAGGAAAUAAAACUUUCUUGUGGUUGCUAGAAAAACCUAGUGGGAUCUAGGUGUAGUCCAUCAUUUUUCAUCUUAUUUAGCACAAAGAAAAAUGUAAUAAUAACUUGUAUGACCAGAAAAUCCUAAGAUCUUGUGUGGGGUCAUCAUUUGAGUGUAGAAGAUUGCCAAAAAAAUUUCAAGAUAUUUGGAGAUAGGCAUAAGAUACGUGCUUCACAAACGUAGAAGAGCCAUUCCACUGAACUAUGCUCAAACAUAUGGGUUCCUCACAUUUAUAUUGUCAACAAUAAAUUGCACAAAGGAAUAUAUUUUUAUAGCAUUUACACACUACAAUAAAGCUAACAAAAUUGGAUUUACAUUUUUCUGGUAUUCCUAGAAAUAUUUAUGUAUUAAACAAGAUAUGAGGCACAUAUUCAAUUUAAAUCAUUUUAAAUAAAGUUGCAUACAAAAGUACCUCAAACAUGAAAUUUCAUAUUUUUAACAUAUGUAUCUGGUCAAGAGGAACACAACAAAAAAAAUUUCACUAAUUUAGGACAAAUAUUUUUAAAGAUAUGAUUUUUUGAAUCAUUUAAAUAAUUUCUAAAUAUAUAUAUAAGGAAUAAACUGAAAAUACAUUUAUACAGGCGGCCCUCGGAGUGAACCGCCAGUACUAAUAUAUUAGUACUAACGACUGUCUUAGCCAACCGCCAGAACUAAUGCAUUAGUACUGGCGGUUGUCUUAAUCAACCGCCAGUAGAAAUGGUUUCUACAGGCGGUUGACUAUGACAACCGCCUGUACUAAUGCCAAUGUAUAUAACCGGUCUCCUCCGCCCGAAAUUUUUCUAAGUCUAGCGCCCUGUUCAUUCAAACUUAGCCGACAGGCUACCGAAAUUUUCCACCGCUUUACAUGUAAUUUUAUUUAUAAUUAUUAUUUUAUAUAUGAUUAUAUUGUAAUUUACAUGUAAUUUUAUUUAUAAUUAUUAUUUAUAUGCGCCUGAAAUUAUUUGUGUCUAUCCUUUUAUAAAUACUUGUUAUUAUUACUCUUUAUAUAUGUAAUAGAAUUCAUAAUUAUUAUUUCAUAUGUAAUUAUGUUGAGGAAAUAUAUCUAUGUAUUAUUUGUGUCUAUCUUUUUAUAAAUACUUGUUAUUAUUUCUCUUUAUAUAUGUAAUAUAAUUCAUAAUUAUUAUUUCAUAUGUGAUUAUGUUGAGAAAAUAUAUGUAUGUAUUAUUUGUGUCUAUCCUUUUAUAAAUACUUGUUAUUAUUACUCUUUAUAUAUGCAAUAGCAUUCAUAAUUAUUCCUUUUAUAAAAUACUUGUUAUUAUUACUCUUUAUAUAUGUAAUAGAAUUCAUAAUUAUUAUUUCAUAUGUGAUUAUAUUGAGGAAAUAUAUGUAUGUAUUAUUUGUCUAUCCUUUUAUAAAUACUUGUUAUUAUUACUCUUUAUAUAUGUAAUAGCAUUCAUCAUUAUUCCUUUUAUAAAUACUUGUUAUUAUUUCUCUUUAUAUAUGUAAUAGAAUUCAUAAUUAUUAUUUCAUAUGUGAUUAUGUUGAGAAAAUAUAUGUAUGUAUUAUUUGUGUCUACCCUUUUAUAAAUACUUGUUAUUAUUACUCUUUAUAUAUGUAACAACAUUCAUAAUUAUUCCUUUUAUAAAUACUUGUUAUUAUUUCUCUUUGUAUAUGUAUUAGUGUAUAUACCCUAGGAUACAUAAAUUUAAUUUUAUUCAUAAAUUACAUAAAUUUCUGCGAUGAGUUCACCGCACAAGGAUGAAACACUGCAGUCCGAACCCACGGAGCGAGUAGAAAGAUCAUCCCACCCUAUGGAACAAGAUCGUGAGGUCACGAAACAAGUAGAAACGGGCGAAGCAUCAGGAUCGUCCUACGAACAAGAAGCUAGCGACGAUAUGGAGCCUCUAGAAGUGAGGAAGACUCGUCAUGAAUUGGCACGUGACCCCGAUUACAAUCCAGAAGCCGAUGAGGUAAAUUAGAGACAUUGACGAUUCCAUGUAAGUAAAUGAUUUCUAUUCAUAGUUUCUACAUAUAAACACGCCCAUGAUUCACAUGUCUAUACUCAGGAGGCAAUGUCUUAGUUUAGAGAGAUGAUGUCUCACGAGGAAGUGGCACACGAAGACGCACCGGAACCGACGAACGCAACGAUGAGCCCUGAGAGGCCAUGUCAGUCCAGGAAAAGGAAGCGACUAGGUUUGAAACGAGGCGAGAGAGGGUUGAACCAAUUUCCAAAUAACACAUAUGCCAUCACAGAUGUGAGCCCUACCGGACAGCCACUAGCUCCAGAGAAGGCCCUACCCAAAUACAGGAACGCAAUUGGUUUCUGUGUGAGGGACUUUCUUGAUAUCUCAACUAAGAACUGGUUCGGUGUGUCGAAUAAUCACAAGAUCAAAAUUUGGGAUAAGAUUAAGACAAGGUUCCAGUUUCCUAGGAAUGUACCAGAAGAUUUAGUGAAGGCAUAUACAAUGAAGCAGUCUGCGGUUAGUUUCCGAAAUUGGAGGUCAGAGAUGAAUGUCAAGUAUGCAAAGACAGGCCAAAUACAAGAUUACUAAAGGGUAGUGGGCUGUUUUUCUAGAGCAGAAGAAUGACCCUAACUUCUUAGCUCGGAGCGAAGCCAACUCCCAGCUCGCAAAGAGGAACAAGUACCACCACCAUCUAGGCACAGGUGGUUACCAACACCAAGUUCCUAAAUGGAGGCAAGAAGAGGCUACGAAGAAGGCAGUAGGGUUGCCAGUGUUGUCCGAGCAAGUCGGUGAAAGGUCCGUGAAUUGGAUCCGUGCUCGGAAACCAAAGGAAACCAAGACGGGUGUGUCCUUUGAAGACCCAAUGCUUGAUGAGGCAAUGAAGAGCAUCUUUGCAGUGGUAGGCAUGCAGCAGGAAGGCAAGUUCACGCCACGAAGGGAGAGGGACAUCCUGAGUGUUGGCCUCGGUAACCCCGAGCAUCCUGGCCGUGUUCGAGGCAUCUCAUCCAAAGAAGGAUGGAAGGAUGGAUUCGGCCCUCAAUGGAAAAAUUAGUAUAAGAAACAUGAUCGGUACAAGGAACAAAUGGCAAAUUAUUUUCAGGAAGAGGCUAAGAAAGACUUCCAAGAGAUGAUGGGGAAGUUGCUAGAAAACCCUCCUCCUGAGUUGAUGCAGAAACUAGCGAGUGCCGUAUCAAAUCAACAGAUGAGCACUCAAGCUCCCCAAAUGCAGCUAGUCCUAGUGGUGUCGCAACCGUUGGUGGCACCGAGUGAAACAAUCAUUCCAAGAAGUGUCGCAUCAAUGGCAAAUAAGUAUCAUUGUCCAGUUGACGACAUUGUUACUUCUACACCUUGCUCCCUUGUCAUAAGAUAUGGGAUUAACAAUCAUCGUACAAGAGAAGUAGCCACGGGCAAAGCGAUCCCAAGAGGACCUAAAUACCAUGGUGCUGACAUUCCUAAAGACUACUUUAGAGUAGAGGUAUCAACCGUGGUCCAAGGAUACGAGGAUGAGAUUCUAGACAUCCCUGGUCCCGAGGACAUUGUGAAACUAGGACAGGCGAUAAAAAAUUUCAUCCUUUAGCCUCGGAGGGACGUGCAACUAAGGGAGCCACCACCACCCUCUCAAGAGAUGCCACUCACCCAGGAGUCGUCACCUCAUGUCGAUCGUCUUCCUAACCCACCGCCUUCACCUCCCCAGUCUCUUCCUGACCCACCAGAAUCACCUCUCCAUGUUUUCUCUGUCCAUCAACCAUCUUCUCUCCAUGAUCUUUCUACCCCACAGUCAACACAAUCUCCACCACCAUUCAAUUCCACCCCUUCCCCAUAACUCAAAGAUCAAGAAACAAGAAGUGAGCCACCAAAGGUGCAAAUUAAGAAGAAAGUAUUUCCGAUACCCAAGUUGAUUUCACCAUACGAGCCAAAGAAAAAAUUAGCUAGGCAAGUGAGAUUUUUGUCAGGCAUUGCUUCUAAAUGCACAGUACAAGAGCAUGAGAUUUCUGAGCUAGCAAAGUCAGAGGUGCCGGCGCCUAAGGUCAUAACUCUUUCAAAUUCAAGGUGCCAACUAUAGAAGACUACAAGCAUAUCCCCAAAAAGUACAUGUGGGGAAAGCCUCUACUCAGUCGGACCAAACUUAUGAAGAAACCAAGUGGUAUAAAAGGUUUCAUGACCGGUACAUGAGAGCCUCUUCUGCUGGCAUCGACACCAUAAGCAUGCGCAUACCACAAAUAGCAUUUCUCAGCUAGAGUACUGACAAAUGCAUGCUUACAUUUGAUGACAUGUGGGCACUGAUGAACCACGAGAUGCUAGAUGUACAGAUCAUAACGGCAUUUGCAUUGUAAGUGUUACAUAGUUACACACAUUGUAGUUUCAUCAAUUUUCAAAAUCUGACAUGCUUCUGUCUUGUAGAAUGUUAUAUGAUCAACAAGAUUUGUAUCUUGGUUCAGACUUUAAUUAUUGUGUCGAAGAAAGGAAUGCCUAUCUCUCCCCAAUAGAUAUAGCCGAAAAUCGGCACACAUUCCGGAUCAGGAAUGACAGCACAGAGGUACAUGGUUUGGAAGGUGCAGAACGGGAUGAGAAACUUCGAAAGUUGAAACUUGAUUUUGAAGCCAAAUACGCCUUCUACAUUGGACAUUCACUAAUAAAGUUUUAAGACAGGAAAACGGUGGUGGCCCCGUACCACUUUGGGUAAGUGUGAGUUUACAAAUAUCUAUCUAAACUAUUCCAAUGCAUAAAUGCAUCAUGGAUUUAAUUCGAGCAGGAACCACUGGAUAUGCUUCAUCGUUUAUCGUAAGGAGGGAAGGGUGUUGGUACUAGACUCCGCAGAUUACCCGAAAGAAAGCUAUGCUCCAUUCAUCAAACUGCUAGAGCUGUAAGUCAAGCUAUGCAUGCAUACUUAAACAUAGUGAGAGUUUGACACUAACAUGGUGAUUCUAUUUGAGAUCAUCGGGCAUACAGGUUCUAUAAGAUAAAUCAUGGAAAGUGCGAGUCCAUGAGACCAGGGCAACCAUUGGAGGUUAUACAUAACUGGCCGCUACGUAUAAAAAUUUACUAUUAUGAAUACAAAUCAUACACAUAUGACCACAGUUGCAACUAUAAUUAAAUAACCACUCUCCUGUUAUACAGCGCAUGAAGCAACCACCCUUAUCUGUCCUCUGUGGCUAGUACGUGUGCGAGAACAUGAGAGAGAACGGACGAUAUGCAAGGAACCCUGACAAGGUAAUAUAAGUAAUAGUCUAUUAAAGUUGGAAGUCAUAAAAUAUAUAAUGUUUAUAAACUUUCUUUGCAAGCAAGGGACGGCGGAGCGCAUGGACGAACGUGCUUUAGACAACAUAGUUGAGGACAUCUGCUCGUUCAUCAUAAAGCAUGUCAUUCCACUUGAAGGCAAAUAUCAUGAUGAUGAAAGCCAAUUAUCCAGGCCACAGUUCCGAGUGCUAACAGAGAUUAGUAAGCUCAAACUUACUAAAGAGGGUUAUUAGAGGACAGAAACAAACUUUGAUGUAUAUAUAUAUGAUGUGUGAUGAUGGAUAUACUCUUGUAAUUAAUUUUAUGUAUUUGAGCACCAAACUUUGAUGUAUACAAAUGUAUGUAUGAGAUGAAGUAUUUAAAUUGCAUGUUGCUAUGAUUGAAGACCAACCAAUACCAUUAUAUUUAAAUAAUAACAAUAAAAUAAUAAAUAAUUAAAUAAAUAAAUAAUAUUUUAAUAGGUUUCCACAGGCGGCUCUCUUAGGGAACCGCCAGGCGGUUCUCUAAGAGAGCCGCCUAUGUAAAUGGUUUCUACUGACGGCUCUCAAGCAGCCGCCUGUGGAAAUGAACGAUUUCUACUGACCCCCAGCGCAGGCGGUGCUGGAAAACGUCUGUAGAAAUAUGUUACCAACCGCCUGUAUAGUGUGCCCAUGUACUAGUGUAGAUGCAUGAUGCUGAAGAAUUGAACACUAGAUCACUUCGCCCUUGUAUAUGAAAAGGGUUGUAACCCUUUAUGUUAAGGGCAAAAUAGUCAUUUAAUGUAAAAUACGAAGAUUGUGUCCUAUAAUUACCCCCACCAAUGUGUGCAGAGAAUGAAUACAACUUUAACUUAUGUUCAACUUUCCAUGUUGAUGAGAUUGUUUCGUUUACUUAAAACUUUCAUGCAACACCAAUGUUAUUAUUAUUUUUUUGCUUCACUUGCUCUGACCCUCCAUGUGUUGUAGCACCCGCCAAAGCCAUUUGAAGUCGUACAAAGAAGGCCUAAAGGCUAAAGCUGUGAUGUGUGCGUCGCAAAAAAAAACGGUGAUGUGUGAAUGGUAAAUUCGAGGAAUCCGGGGCUCUACAUGAACACGCUAUGUGUUCCGUUGUUAUUGCCUGGCAAGACGUGAUCACCGGAACACAAAAACAGAACAACAAAGCUAGUCAUUCUCAGCCAGCCUCUAAUAAAUCCAAUCCGUAUCCAUCACCUAGGCUGGAUGCCACCCCUGACCCUCAGCCUCUCCCUGGCGAACUCGCUGGAGACUGGCCCUCGCCUGUGUCGCGGCACCACCGGCGCCCCAAACUCCUGCACCUGGGCCCUAUGUUUCGCCCGCGGCUCCUCGCCAAUUGCUUCGUUGUCUGCUGAUUCCUGUGCGUCCUCCACCGUGCUGCUGCUCCAGCCGAACUCCACCAUGCGCUGCUGAUAGCACUUGAUGGCCACCACCAGCAUGAACACCGCCCAGACGCGUGCCACCGUGGAUGAGACGUUCCAGACCAGGGUGAAGACGGCUGCCACCACAGCUUUCUUGUGGGAGCACGACUCCCAGGCGUCCCUCAACCUUUCCAGCCAAAACUUGCCUGCAUGACAUGGAGAUCAACCAAAAAAUUCGGUUUAUAUUUAUGCUUAUACUAAUUUGUUAUGAGAAGAAAACACUAUUUGUUCGUCGAAAAGUACCCAUAUCCUUUCACAUUUACGUUACUCUACUUUAUUGGCAGUACCCAUAUACUUAUUGCCGUUUGCUUCCUGCCUGGUUAGUUGGGUUCCUGAUGUACUUUUCGCCUUUGCCCAUGCUUUCAUGGAGCUAGAUUAUUAAGUCCAGACAUGUGAAAGCAGUAGGGUCUAGUUUAAGUGCUAGUGUACACCAUGAAAAAGUUUACAUACAUGCAUGGAAGGGAACCAAACAUAAAGUUCACGGCAUCAUUUCUUUUACUGAAAUUGUUCUCUUUCUACAAUCAUUAGUAACACCGAUAAUAUGGCACAAGAAUGUAGGCAGUACUGCUAAGCUACAUUAUCAUCAACAUUGAAAUAACUUUGAUGGGAAAAGAGGGAAUCCUUUGAAAUACAUGAAUUUCAAAGGAAUCGAUUUAACAUAUAGAAGUAGGGUUUGUGAAAAAAAGACUAAGCUAAGCAUGUGUUUGGAUGGAGGAACCAACUAGAUUGGAGCAGGUUCGACCCGGUUUCUUGGCUGUUUGGUUUGUGGGUUCACGAGAAGUGGGUCGAACCCGGUAGAGAAUAUACUCUCCAAAUGUGGGUCGGGCACGAUACCAUGGAAUCGAUCAGACCGUCUCGACCUAGAUGGAGCGAUAGCGACACGGGGCCAGGUGAGCGCCGGUGGGCAUAGGUGGCCGUGCCACGCAGACGAGGCGAGCAGCGCGCCGAUGGUCGUGUCAGAUGGGGGGAGCGGCGUCGCACGGGGCCAGGUAAGCGCCGGCGCGCCAUAUCACCCGAGAGAGGCGAGCAGCGCAUAGGGCGAGCUCUGCCCUUGACCAUGGUGGCGCAUGCCGAGCUCCGCCCUUAGGAGGGCGGGCGCACAUUCGCGCGAAAGCUGUUGGAUUUAUUUUGGGCUAUGCUCAAUUAGAUUUAAUAAAUCAAAUAAACUCUAUGGUACGUAAUUAUGAAUAAUACGAGUUGUACCAGACAUGGCGAGGCGAGGGGAGCCAAGCAGACAGGCAUGCGGUGUAGUGAUGUGGUGUGUUAAGCACUCACUAAUUACAAGAGUUUCAACUCUGUGUUUAACUCACCAUUUGCUGUAGUAAUGUGGUGUGUUAAGCACUCACUAAUUACAGGAGUUUCAACUCCGUGUUUAAUUCACCAAUUGCUGUCCCUUCGGCUGUCAUCCCUUCCUCUCCUCCCUCUCCUGCCGCAAGGCUAUAAAGAGGACAUGUGCCUUUGGUCUGGUACACACACAACACACAACUCAGAACACAAUCCUGUUGCAAAGAAGGAAUCCUCAUCUCGUAACUCCGCGCGCACGGAGGAGCGAGAGGGCAGGUGCCUCCGAAGCCCUUGUCGUUCGAGACCUUGCACGAGAGAUCGGCAAUUAGGUUUUUUGGGGAGCGACUACGCGACUGCCCUAUUCACCGCCACUGUUCGUCUUCCUCAAGCUGGUUCGGGCGGAUUUCUUCUUCCUGGUGGAAAGAUCGUCUUCAUCCUCUACAUCAUUGAAAUUGGUCAAGGAUCGGGAUCAUCGGAGCGCACGGGAGGGUAUGAUCCGUUCAUCUUCCUGUUGUAUUUCGUCUUCCCAUGUUGCAGCAGUGUGUUUGUUUUGUUACGCAUACUAUCCUGGUUAUGUUUCAUAUGCUCUACCAUGUCUUUUCUGUUUUUAUCUUAUAUAUGUUUCUGGUAUAAGAUCUAUGUCAUGUCUGCUUGUUUCGCUGGUUAAGUUAAAACGUUUCAUAUGUUGUUGUCUCUAUGUUUCACUAGUGGUUCAGUCACGUCGUUUGACAUACUGUUUCUCAUAUUUUCAGUAGUUCUAUUUCGUCGUUUAACAUGCAGUCUCUUGUUUAUUGCUAUUUUAAGAUAUAUGUCUUGCCUUGUUAUUAUAUUUCAUAUAUUAUGCCUUUAUAUUUUUAAUAAUCACAUGUUCUACAUGUUCAUGGAUCACAUGUUCUAUAUUCCUAUGAACAUGUUUAAUAUCAUGAUUUUUAUGAUUAAUUAUAUUAUAUAUGUCAUCAUCAUAAUGUUGAUUUAUGGAAUUAAAAUGAUAUGGAAAUUGCCUAUAAUUCUAACAAUUCAAAAACCUAAAUAUAAUAGGCAUUUUUUCUGUCAGAGGUUUUGCUGCUACUUUGAAGCCUGAUUCUUUUGAUGGGAAACCUGCUAACUUACCUCCUGCGGAUGAGGCAAAGUUUAAGGUUGAUGACAACCUCUUUCGAGGUGCAGUAAUUAGCGCACUUGAUCCUAAGUUCCACAAAAGUUAUAUCAUCCAUCCUACAGGGAAAGAGCUGUGGGAUGCACUUAUGGGAAAGUUUGGAGUUACUGAUGCUAGUAGCGAGCUGUUUCUCAUGGAGCAGCUGUUUGACUACAAGAUGGUUGAGAACCAAUCUGUAGUGGAACAGGCUCAUGAGAUUCAGGCACUAGCUAAGGAACUUGAACUGUUCCCUUGUUUUUUGCCCGAUAAGUUUGUGGCUGGCGGUAUCAUCGCCAAGUUGCCACCUUCUUGGAAGGACUUUGGCACCUCUCUCAAACACAAGAGGCAAGAGUUCAAUGUUGAGGAACUCAUUGGUACUCUAGAUGUUGAGGAGAGGGCUAGAGCAAAGGACAAUGGGAAAGGUGUUGAGACCUCAUCUGCCAAUGUGGUGAAGAAGAAAUCUCACAAGUGGAACAAGAAGAUCUAGAAAAAGAAGGAGAACACUCCUAAACCCGUUCAAACCACACAGUUCAAGAAACAAAACAACAACAACAAGAAGAAAGGUGGCUGCUUUUUGUGCGGCAGUGAGGAUCAUUGGGCAAGUGAGUGCCCUGAUCGUAAGUUCAAAUACGAGAAGAAAGUUGUAAACAUGGUUACUACUAAAACUGGAGAUGGAACAUCUGGGUAUGGUAAUUCUUUACCAUUUGUUCUUUCAGUUUGUAAUUCACCUGAGUGGUGGAUGGACAGUGGUGCAAAUAUCCAUGUAUGUGCUGAUGUCUCUUUGUUUGCCACUUAUCAGGUCGGGAGGUCUGGCGCCUUGUUGAUGGGAAAUGGGUCGCGUGCUCAUGUUCUUGGUGUUGGUAUGGUCAUUCUGAAGUUUACUCCGGGAAAGACGGUGCCCUUGAAGAACAUACAACAUGUUCCCUCCAUCAAGAAAAAUCUUGUUAGUGCAUCUAUGCUAUGCCGAGAUGGCUAUAGAGUUGUUCUUGAAUCAAAGAAAUGUGUUGUGUCGAGACAUGGUUCAUUUGUGGGUAACGGAUAUCAUUGCGGAGGUUUGUUCCGCUUAUCGUUGCAUGAUGUUUGUAAUAAACUUGUGAAUUCUGUUGAUAUUUCUGAUGAGUCGGAUUUAUGGCAUUCACGGUUUUGUCAUGCAAGUUAUGGCUGUCUUAUGCGCUUAGCAAAUCUAAAUUUAUUUUGGGCUAGGCUCAAUUAGAUUUAAUAAAUCAAAUAAACUCUAUGGUAUGUAAUUGUGAAUAAUACGAGUUGUACCAGACAUGGCGAGGCGAGGGGAGCCAAGCAGACAGGCAUGCGGUGUAGUGAUGUGAUGUGUUAAGCACUCACUAAUUACAAGAGUUUCAACUCUAUGUUUAACUCACCAUUUGCUGUAGUAAUGUGGUGUGUUAAGCACUCACUAAUUACAGGAGUUUCAACUCCGUGUUUAAUUCACCAAUUGCUGUCUCUUCGGCUGUCAUCCCUUCCUCUCCUCCCUCUCCUGCCGCAAGGCUAUAAAGAGGACAUGUGCCUUUGGUCUGGUACACACACAACACACAACUCAGAACACAAUCUUGUUGCAAAGAAGGAAUCCUCAUCUCGUAAAUCCGCGCGCACGGAGGAGCGAGAGGGCAGGUGCCUCCGAAGCCCUUGUCGUUCGAGACCUUGCACGAGGGAUCGGCAAUUAGGUUUUUGGGGAGCGACUACGCGACUGCCCAAUCCACCGCCACUGUUCAUCUUCCUCAAGCUGGUUCGGGCGGAUUUCUUCUUCUUGGUGGAAAGAUCGUCUUCAUCCUCUACAUCAUGGAAAUUGGUCAAGGAUCGGGAUCAUCGGAGCGCACGGGAGGGUAUGAUCCGUUCAUCUUUCUGUUGUAUUUCGUCUUUCUGUUCGUACAUGUUGCAGUAGUGUGUUUGUUUUGUUGCGCAUACUAUCGUGGUUAUGUUUCAUAUGUUCUACCAUAUCUUUUCUGUUUUUAUCUUAUAUAUGUUUCUGGUAUAAGAUCUAUGUCAUGUCUGCUUGUUUCGCUGGUUAAGUUAAAACGUUUCCUAUGCUGCUGUCUCUAUGUUUCACUAGUGCUUCAGUCACGUCGUUUGACAUACUGUUUCUCAUAUAUUUCAGUAGUUCUAUUUUGUCGUUUAACAUGCAGUCUCUUGUUUAUUGCUAUUUUAAGAUAUAUGUCUUGCCUUGUUAUUAUAUUUCAUAUAUUAUGCCUUUAUAUUUUUAAUAAUCACAUGUUCUACAUGUUCAUGGAUCACAUGUUCUAUAUUCCUAUGAACAUGUUUAAUAUCAUGAUUUCUAUGAUUAAUUAUAUUAUAUAUGUCAUCAUCAUAAUGUUGAUUUAUGGAAUUAAAAUGAUAUGAAAAUUGCCUAUAAUUCUAACAAAAGCAACAGUAGUGGCAUGCCUAGGCAAGAUUCGCAGUGAUCGGUGACAAAGUGGGCACAUGUGGAAUUUGCGGUGGUUGCUCCAAAACUGACGAACAGGUCCGUACAGGCAGGCGAGUAGGGGCUGUGCCUAAGCAGAGAACACGGUGAGAGGAUGUCGUAAGAAGAAAGGAGGGAUGACAAGCUGACGUACAGGACCCAUAUGACAGGAAUCUGAACCCACCUCCUUUUCAAAAAAAAAAAGGAAUCUGAACCCACUUACCUCCAACCAAACACAGACGUGGGAUAUCACGUUCGCCUAACCAAAGGCGAGAUGGGUCCAAUCCACCCCUUGUGGUCCAAAUCUUUGGACAGUGACUAGCUAUCUACCAUCUUCACUGACUGAUGUGAUGGGAUUUGCUGACUGAUCUGAUAUAAGACCAGUGGGGGACUUAACGGAAUUCUAAUUAGUAAGGACGACUCAAGUUUUUCUUCAAUAUUAUCGCUCAAAUGAUAUAUGAUUAGUGGUGAACUUAACGGAAUUCUAAUUAGUAAGGAUGACUCAAGCUUUUCCUCGAAAUUAUCGCUCAAAUUAAAGGGCAUGGCCAGACGCUAAAUAAAGAAUCGAAGUGGCAGACAUGGUAGCGCAACAUCACACCGGAAACAUCUAUAAUCCUGUUCGGACAUGUUGUUGUUGUUUUGGCAGGCAACAAAUAUGUCACGCACGACUCACGAGCCUAAUUGUUGUUUACAGUAUAUUUGUGUGGACCAAAAUGCUGAUGGGUUGGUGAGCAAACACCAAACAGACGACCCUACAAACAGAGGGCACAGCUAGCGAGGAUGGGAGACCAGAUCAGUAAGGUCUUGUUUAGUUCGUAAAAUUUUUUGUUUUUGGUACUGUAGCAUUUCGUUUUUAUUUGACAAACAUUGUCUAAUCACGGAGUAACUAGACUCAAAAGAUUCAUCUCACAAAUUAUAGGUAAACUAUGCAGUUAGUUUUUAUUUUUGUUCAUAUUUAAUGUUCCAUGCAUGUGGCCAAAGAUUCGAUGUGACGGGAAAUCUUGAAAAUUUUUGCGAACUAAGGCUUUGUUUAUAUGAAAAAAAUUUUUAGAUUUUGACACUGUAUCACUUUUGUUUUUAUUUAACAAACAUUAUUUAAUUAUAGAGCAACUAGGCUUAAAAAAUUCGUCUCAUAAUUUACAGGUAAACUGUACAAUUAAUUAUUUUUUUAUCUAUAUUUAAUGUUUCAUACAUGUGUCGUAAGAUUUGAUGUUAUGAGAAAUCUUGUAAAGUUUUGGUUUUUUAGGUGCAUCUAAACAAAGCCUAAGUAGUGUGUUUGCAUGAGAGUGAUCCAUGUGCCUACUCCAUCGGUCCUAAAUUAAUUAUCAUUAUUAUUUUGAUAUCACAAGUUUAACUCGAUUUAUAUUAAAUACGUUCAAUGUUUAUAUCUUCAAAUAAAAUUGUUAAAAAACUAGAUUUAAAAAUAUUUUUUAUAAUACUAAUUAUAUACCACAAAAAUUAAUAAUUUUUAUAUAUAUUUAGUUAAAAUUGUGUCUCAACAAGCGUAAACAAUAAUUAUUUUGAGAGAGAGAGAACGCUACAACUGUAAAAGAGCAAAGCUAGGAAGGUUCAGUACUGACAGUUAAUAUCAUGCCCCGUGGGUGAAAGAAUCCUGAACAUUGCUAACUUAUUCUAUGGCGUACAGUGUAGCAAUAAUAACAGCUCAUACGAUUAAGGCCUCGUUUAGUUCACCCAAAAAUCAAAAAGUUUUUAAGAUUAUCUGUGACCAAUCUUUCGGCAUAUGCAUGAAGGCAUUAAAUAUAUAUAUGAAAAUAAAAACUAAUUCCACAGUGUAACUGUAAAUCGCGAGACGAAUCUUUUAAUCCUAGUUAGUCCAUGAUUGGACAAUAUUGGCCUCAAACAAACGAAAGUGCUACAGUAGCGAAAUACAAAAAAAUUUCGCAUCUAAACAAGGCCUAAAAUAUUCCUUACCAACAGAACAGUUAUGAACUAUCCAUAAGCAAUAAAAAAAUUAUUAUUGUUCGCUUGAAUUUAUUAACUAGAAUCAACCAUUAAUCACAGUGUUUUGUUUCACAAUAAAUUAGCAUCAGCCGUAGAAACAAUACACCAUAGCAAAAACUACCCAUAAAGUUAUGAACUACCUAAGUAAUAAAAAAAUUAUUAUUAUUUCCUACUCACCUCUCUCUCUCCCUGGCUGGAAGGGUGGAAGAGUUUUUCUUUAUCUCUGAGGGAACCCUCUUUAUACACUACUAGUUCGCUGAGCAUUGUAAAUAAAUAAUAGUAGUUAUGGAUGGGUCCUAUGUAUAUGAACUAUGGAUGAGUCCCAUAGUAGUUAUGGAUGGGUCCUAUUGUAGCUGCCCUUAGUGAUGCGAGUGUCUGAUUAAAUAAGUUAAAAUUUCUUAGCUACUUCUAACCAACCAAGAAGAUUGUAAUCAAUCAAUCUUAAAUUUAAUCAUAGGGUAUUGAUCACAUUUCAUGCCAUAUGUUUGUGUCUAAAUCUGGUUAAGUCCAUCAAAGAGCUAGAAGACAAGUUCAGGAGCAGGUUCACUAAGCAAAAUAAAGAUGCCACAUUAGUGUCGUUACCAUUGGAGCAAAAAAAAUGUCUUCAACAUCAACUUCUAUAUAUUCCCCCCAGAUUUACUACGUGGAUGCACCCACAACUAUUUUACAUGUAGCUAAUAUUGUCGUAUCCACAUGAGCUAUGUCUUCAACAUUAGUUUCUAUGUAGUCCUUUGUGACACCAGCGAUGAUGAGAUGAGAACAAAGUAAUACUACCGUACUCCCUCCGUCCCAUUCAAAUGUUAUUUUUGAUUUUCAAAUUUCUUAUUUAAUAAUUCACCUUAUUCAAUUUUUUAUGCAAAAAGUAAAAUAAAUAAAUUAUUGUUAAAAUCUUUUUACUAACAAAAUAAAUUAAGAUAAAAAAUAAUAUUUAUAUAAAAUUUUUGAAUAAGAUAAACGGUCAAUCAAGGAGCCUUGAGUGAGUAGUUGUUUGGAAAGAUUCUCUUACUUUUUGCGCAACGACACAGGAAGGUGUGGGGUCACUAGGGACAGCAUCAGUUUCAUACUGUUCGACCAUAGGCCACAGCGUAAAAUAACAAUCAAGGUCCAGUUCUUGUUUAGUUAUAUCUGAAAUUCAAAAACUUUUGAAAAUUUUUUAUCACAUUAAAUUUUGUGAUACAUGCAUAUAGCUUAAAUAUAGAGAAAAAAUAACUAAUUGUACAGUUUAUUUGUUGUAAGAUAAAUCUUGUAAACCUAGUUAGUUGAAUAAUAAUUGUUACAUACAAACAAAAUGUUCCAGUAUCAGCUAAGGAACUAAACAAGGCCCAAGCUCUCAAAAAACGCUCGCAUGUGCAAAAGGUAGGAGGAAUAACCGUGCACGCUAAUGCCAUUGUUUAGUUUCUCCCUUAAAGUGUACUUCAUAUCCUAUUGGAUAUUUGAACACAUACAUGGAUUGUUAAAUAUAGACUAAAAAUAACUAAUUGUGCAGAUUACGACUAUUUUAGAGAUAAAUUUUUUAAGUCUAAUUAGUCCAUAGUUUAACAAUAUGAUGCUACAGUAAAGCUAUAGUAAACAUGUGCUAAUAACGGAUUACUUAAUCCUUAAUAAAUUCAUCUUGCGGAAUACUAAGGACUUUUACAAUUUAUCUUUUUAUUACUAUACGAACAUUCCCAUAUGACAUCCAGAUGUCAUAGCCGAGGUCAUACCCAAAAUUUUACACCCUGAUCUAAACAAGGUCUUACUAUAACUUUUGUUUUGCCUCGGAUGUGAACAAGUGAUCAUUUACUUUUAACUACAACACCUAGGGCCUACACUGUCACUUCUACUAGUUUAUUAGCUAACCUAGGUUGAAGAAUGCAAACAAGUCAUGAUUCUCUUUGUAGAUGGUAAACCUUAAGUGUAGGUCAAAUAUCAUUCUUCAUUUAUACAUCAUCUUGUUCUGUAUGAGGAUAUACUCUAGUGUACUAACAAUAAACUUUUAUCUUGCUCUUUCUGUUUCCUGCCCUAGUUUUAUUCCGUAUGACAACUCUCUUGAAUCUUGUGUCAAAUUUAAAUCCAAACUAUGUGGUUGAAGUUGAGAGCUUUAUCACAGUGCUUCCAUCCACAAAAACGAAUGCAAUUCUCCUACUUCGAGGAGUCAAGUAAAUUUGACUUUAACUCAAGUUAUAUAAAAAUUACCAAGAUUCUUGAUACAAAAUAAGCAUCAUUAAAUUAGCUAUAGAAUAUAUUUUCAAAAUAAAUUUAUUUGGAGACACAAAUACGAAUAUUAUUAUUAUAAUCUUUAGUUAAAUUUGAUUUAAUUUGAAAAACACAGAUACUAUAAUUACAUGGUUUUAUGGACGGAGGGAGUACUAUACACUUACCGUAUCGUGCCAGCUGCGUGGAGUAAGAGGAGCACACCUUCGGGAUGAUGAAGACCCCAAAGAAGACUGCAAACGCAGCCGAACAAAGACACGAGAAGUCAGUGACUGCAGUACAUCUCGCUGCACCUUUAUCUGUACAUGUAAACUUGCUCACGCUCGUGGUCCCUAUAUUUCCUAUGGUUCAAGCUAAAGUUACUGCAUCAUAACUGUAACAAAACAGUUCAUGAAAGGCUAUCCCCUCCCACGGCUUGUUGAAAUGAAGAAACAGAAUUUGCACCAAAAAGAAAGUAAUGAAGAAACAGAAGAGGUUCCCAGGGGCGAAAGGAAUUAGAGAGAAGGGAGUGAAAGAUGUUGCAUAGAUGGUAAUGCAUGUAUUAUCAGCUGUAGGAGGUAGUAGAACUUACCCAGUUUAGCCAGUGUCCAGAGGGUGAUAAAAUUACCACACCGGGCCAUCGCAAACAGUAGCAGUGCCAGCUGCAGACCAGAACACAUGUGUCUACUUGUCAGUACAAAUCCAGAGAUGCGCGUCUAUGCGUUGCAGGCAUCUCGGAGUAUGCCAGAUACUACAUGUACGGAGUACCAGAUAGUACAGUGUUUUUCUCUCUUUUGUUUUUGCCUAAUAUUCACAUGAAGGCACAGCACCUUUCUUUCUCUGUUUUUACCUACCUUCAUGGUUGUCACAGGCUCACCGGAGAAGAGAGACCUCAGAUUCAGGAGCACCUCAUUGAUAUAUGGCAGCACCAGCCUCAGCAGCCAGAUGGCCUCCUCCUCCCCAACCAGGUAGCACCUCUCGCCAAUGCCUUCAUCGUCACACUCCAAAUUUUCACCCCUGCAUUUUUACCCAGCAGUGAAAAGUUACCAUGGUUAAUGACACAAUAAACGAUUUACUUUGAAUUUGCUUGCGCGUGAUUAUGUUGGUCCUCUGAGGAGAUUAGCCUUUUACCUGUUCAGUAUGGACUUCCGCAGGAACCGUAGACCAAGGUAGAUUAGGCCUGCAUAUGAUGCUGCCGUGAUUGUGCUGCGGAAUGCAUAAAGUUUGGUGGGGAAGGUUAGGUAAUUGCUGUCAGUUUUGUUACUAUCAACGCUUUUAGAUUCUAGUAACUUCAUAGUUACAGGUGCAGCAAAUAUUGAAGAGCGAGUUACUUGAAAUUUAGGUCCUUGGCGUAGGAGGAUGAGAUGAGCAAGAAAGUCCCUAAUCCAAAAACCAAUGCAGACUUUGACACAUCUCUCCACAUCACCAAAUUCACUGGGAUACCAAGGUGCAGAAAGGAAAGGGAAGAGCCAUCAGACCCUGACUGAUUCUUGAACUAGAAUAUCAGAUUCUUUGAGUUGUUGGGAACAAAAGCAUGCAUAUGGAUUUGUGCCAUGGUCUCAUGGAGGCUAGUAAUAGACAUUACCAAUAUUCUGCAUUCUUGCUUGACUUCUGCUGGGUUGAGAUGGUCUUCCUUGAAUCUCCACAUACUCUUCAACUUCAAUCAAACCAAGACAAUUAAUCAGAAAAUAAUAACAACUAGGUUUACCUCAAAAAAAAAAUAAUAACAACUAGAUGAUCCAAAAAUUACAUCUAGGCUGACUUUUCAGAAUCAAAUAUACCUGGAGAAGUAGGCUUUGCCGGCUCCAAGUCGGUCAUGCGGUGAACCACUAUCGGUGUCGCCUUCUUCUCGACUGCAUUCCGGCAGGAUGGGAGCAGCGAUUGGUGUAAGACAGAUAUUUACCUGAAGUAGCGUGAGUUUUGCAUUUGGUGGAAUAGAAAUUCACCUGGUGGAGGGGUCAUGGGUUCCGGGUUGAUUGCUCGGAGAUCGACCACCGAGGCUAAUUUCUUCCCUGGACCAUCAAUGAACAGGAAUAUAUGGAUGAGUCGAAUCCAUCGCAGCCAAACACGCAAAAAAGGGCGAAGUGAUCGAAGGACUGAGAUUCACCUGGAGGCCGCUUCACCGGCUCUGGGUUGGUCGCUCUCUCUUCUUCUACCGACGGCGUUGGCUUAAUACCUGCCACAUUAGCGGCGAUGCAGUUCGGAGGCAAGAACACAACAGUCAGGAAAUGAAAAGAAAAGCAAGGAAAAUGUGGAGGAGAAAACAGGGACAAAAUUGGCAGAGGCACCUUUUGUCGGUGGCCCAAGAUCUUGGCCGUCGUCGUCCUCCACUGCAAUACGGUAGCAAUUGAAGAGCACAGUGACAUUAUUAGUGUGUUCAUCGACAAGUGAAUCAGGCAAAGACACUACGACAGUGGGGAACUAAGGAUUCUUGCCUUGGUCCAGAGCAGUUUGUUCGUUGUCAAUGGCCAUGUGAUCCUGAUCCAGCAUCUCCUUCUCUUCCUCCUCUGUCUGAUCCAGCUCCUCGUCCAAUAAUUCAUCCUCCGCGUCGUCGUCGUCCAACUCCUCAUCUGGUUGUUGCACCACGUUCUUGGCGUCUGCCGCCGCGGCCUUGUGCACUUCCACGACCACCACCUCCUUGACCUCGCCGGCGGCCGCCGCGGGCGCCACCUUCUUCUCGGGCUUGGAUACCGGCGCCACGGCCCGCCUGGCAACCACCGCAGUGGUGGUGGUGGCCGUCGUCACGGCGGCGGCGGCGUCGGAGCGCGUCGUGCGGAGAUCCCCAAUCGCGGUGACCGGCUCAGAAGCCUUCCAGCUGCGCCUCUUCUUGGCGGCCGCGGCGCUGGCGGCGCCCGCGGCACCGGUGCCGUUGCCCUCGCUCUGGUUGCGGCGCAGGCGGCGGUAGACCCGCAUGCCCUCCUCGUCCGCCGGCUCGUCGGCGGCGCCGGCGCUGAAGACCUUGACGCCGCCCUUGACCUCGUCCAUCUUCAUCCGCGCCUCCCACACGGAGGACGCCGAAGUGGUGACGGCGGCGCUCCUGGUGGACUGCACCGAGACACGCCUCCGUCCACCGGUGGUGGCGGUAUUGGAAACCGUGCCCCCGGACUGCAUUGCUUUAUGCCUUGGCCUUGCUGUGGGGCGUCUUGGUUGUGCUCUGUCUGCGCUUGGUUGCUUGCGCUUGGAGGCUCCUGGUGCUCCUUCCCUUCUGAUGGCGCUGCGGGCUGUCCCCUUCCGAAAUUCCUUCCCUGCUCUGCCUUCUGCUGCACUCAAAUCUCGGGGUUAGGGCGAGAGUGGGCUAGCAGGGUGCCGCAGGCUUUACCGUUGUAAAUCCGAGGGGAUCCUUUACCCUUUAUUUUUCUCUUUGGGGAGGUGGAUGAGGGAGGUGGGGUUGGAGCGGAAAAGGAGGCACUGAGGGAGGACUAGAGGAUAGGUAAAGCUUUGGGCGCUUUUGGUUUGGUGGAUCGGCCAGCAGAGCAGACGGCAGGUUCUCUGAUCUGAUCGGGACUCACGUCUGGUGGUGGGGUGGUGCUGGCAGAGCAACUGGGGGCAGAUGUCUCUUCGGGUUCUUUGGCUGGCGGCCUCCAGGGCAGGUUCGUCUCCUCCGGCCGGCCUUGCCGCCUGCCUUGGCCCUUCGGACCUUUUGGUAUGGCACUGGCAAGCGAGGGGGAGAGAGAAACGAGUCACGCGCUCUUGGCGGCUGCGUUUGUCUCCGUGGGCUGCUGAAACCACUUCCGGCCGUAUUUAGUUCCUGUCCACAAAAAUCACGUGCUAUCUGUGAUAAUUAUUGUCCAACCUUGACUUAUUAGACUUAAAAUAUUCAUCUUGUAAAUUUCAACUAAACUAUGUAAUUAGUUUUUAUUUUUAUCUAUAUUUAAUACUUUAUACAUGUUUUUAAAGAUUCGAUGUGACGAUAAAUCUUGAAAAAUUUUAGGUUUUAGGCGAAAGUAAACAAGGCCUUAAGCUUGAGGCGUCAAGGUAUGACAUCAGUCACGUCGUGCGUGUAUGUUUGCAUGGAUGAGGCCAUCCUACACCGGGAGGAGAAGCUGUACACGUUAGCUUAUGCACUGUAGCAGUAAAUAAAUGGAGGUAUAUAUCUCUCACCUCAGUCCUCCCCUCGUAAAAAACUACCUCCUCCCAAAACCUCCUCUCGGUCUCUCUUCCUUAGUACUCCCGAGGCCAGGCCAACAGCACUAGGCGUCAGCUGUGCAUGGCGACGCCCUCGUCCACCUCCGUCGCCUCCUCCUCUCUUCCCUCCCCUUCCUCUAUAUCUCCCAUGAGCGUGGCGGAGCUCUCAGCCUACAGCGCUGCGCAACGCGGGGCCACCGACGGUGGCCAUCCUCGGCCCUAGCGCGGCACGACUAGCCCGCUACAGUGGCCUCCGGCGUGGCUGCACUCCCCAGCGCUUCCUUCUCCAUCUGGUUUGCAUGUGCUCCUUUUUUCACAAAAACCUAACCGCCUUAGCUACAGGUAACGACACACCAACGCCGGCCCUACCCUCUACGGCGGUCUCCUUCUCCCGCGUCCCGGUGCUUGACGGUGGCAGUCCUCCAUUUGCUGCGCUUUUUGGCUACCUCCUUCCAAAUCCUCCUCUCGGUUUGUCCUCCUCGUCUCCCUCCUCGGUCCUCCCGAGGCUAGGCUAAUGGCAUUGGGCAUCAGCUAUGCGCCACGGCCGCCUCAUCUGACUCCACCUCGUCCUCCUCCUCUAUUCCCUCCCCUUGCUCUCUCUCUCUCCCUUGAGCAUGGCGGUGCUCCUGCCUUGCAGCUUGGCACAGCACGGGGUCCACGCGCGGUGGCCAUCCCCGGCCAUAGCGUGGCGCGACCGGCCCACGGUUGUGGCCUUCAGCGUGGCUGCCUCCCCAGCACUUUGUAACAUCUCGUCUCCACGAGGCCAGACCCGCUUACAUCAAAUAGCUUUUCUAGGACAUAGGCUACCCUCACAAACCAACACUAGUCUUUUUUCUGCACUUUGUCCUCACUCGUGUGCACCCAGGAAGAACUUUCUGAUUGGUCACCCAUCCCUAACUUUCUCUAGUCCAAGCACGCUUAACUUUAGAGUUCUUUGGAGAUGGGCUUCCGAAAAAGAAGUUGCAACUUAUUGAUAUCAUGCUUAAUUAUGCCAUAGUUCCAAGAUAAAGAUCACACACACACACACCACAUAUCAUGCUUGCUACUUCUACACUAGAAGUACGCCAAAACAUGCUAUCCAUUUUCACCAUAAAGAUGCUCGAUGUUCUAAGGUUUAAAAUAUUUCUCUAAACAAGGCUUGUGUAGAUGAGACAUAAAGGCUAUUAAAAAAUCAUUGCUGUGAUGUCUCAAGUAAAAUAAAAUAGAGAGAGAUCUUAUCAAAUAGAGGAGUAUUCUACUCUAUCAUUUUCCACACACUUGCACAUCUUUAUCUAGGAUUAUGACAAUCUUCUCCUAGGUUCCUUGUUUUGACUUUAUAAUAUAUGCAAUGCAAGUAGGCUAUCUUGUUCAUCCUUACCUAAGCCCCAUAUAAGCCUAUAGAUGUAGGAUGAAACAAAAGAAGGCAAUCUUAUGCCAUGCCUUGUUAGGAAUCAUAUACAUACUGAGUGAUUUGAGAGUGCUAUUUGAGGAAUAAGAAGGAACUAUGUGCUUUCUUUUAAAACCAUUAUAUAAACUCUAAGUACCAAGAAUAACAAAUAGGGAGAUAACUUUGCCUUGAAAAUAAUCACAACUUGCUCAAAAUAGCCCACAAGACAGUUUGUGGUGAUGGUUCAACACUUAGAAACUUUUCUAAGUCCUUGGGUGAAUGCAAUUUGCGUGAAGGGAUGUUGGGAGCUCUAUAACUUUGCAUCCAAGCCGAUUUAGCGUUUGCUCCAAUUGACAUAGUUGUAGAUAUCGUGUAGUUCUCCAAGUUUGUUAACUACACCAUCUUCUAAUUUGCCACAGUUUGGGAGUUAAUCACUGCCAAUCUUCCUCUGUUAGUUGUCGAUUGAAACACUGAUUGGCAGGCUUCAGUCGCCGUCAUGGCUGACCGGCACAAAGAUCAAGCGCAUUUGGCAUCCGUACGCUGGGCCCUGCUUGUCAGCCCAGCGUCGCUGCAUGACCUCCGCGCCAAUGCCCCGUCUAUCUCGGCCACGCUCACUAGCUCUCCCACUCGCUUGCACACUGUUGGGUAUUUUAAACGCAAACAGAAAGAUCCGCAAGCGUAUGGAUACCGAUGUAGCUUUCACCCGGGAGUAUUCCAAAGUAUCGAUUUUCCACAGGGAACGUGAGUGUACUAAUUAAGAUUCAAGAUCGCCCAAGGAUAACUAUAUUAACUAUUUUUGGUGGGAAGAGAGAAAGUUUCCUGAGAGUUCUCUAGUUGAUCUAAGAAUCAAGAAAUACUUCAAAGAUUAUUUAUUUCGGGACAUCAGAACACUAACCACAGAAAAGAGAUGAGAAGGGAGGAAGCUCUGACUACAGUCCUGCAAACACCAAUCUGAACGAGGUGGAAUACGUCGACCGUUAGGGCUGUCACUACCCUAGGGUUACCACAACAAUCCGCAGGAUUGGGUACAAUUCCAGGUAAUUGCAAGACUAAACACCACAUCUAAUCUAUUAAUUACUACUCUAGGGUUGCAAAGACUAGAGCACUUGAUGCAAGCAGGAAUCCAAUAAAUAACUUGAAUAUAAAUAAAAGUAAUUAAAGAACUCAGGAAUUAUGAAUUGAAGAACUUGGAGAACGAUGAAGAAUGAACCAGUUCCUGCAAAAGUACAAUGUUGAGGAAGAUCCGACAGAUCAGGCUCCUCCUCCGCUCUCCUCUUCUCUCUCCCUAUUUUCUAGAUUACAACUAGAACUAGAACUAGAUGAACUAGAACUAGAACUAGAACUAGAUGAACUAGAGGGAUCCUCUCUACUUGGAUGAAUAAUUGAAACCCUAGCUUUGAUUCUGUUGAAGAUAUAUGCCUCUAGGGGCUGGUGGGGGCUGUUUAUAUAGUUCCUCCAAAUGAAUAUGGACCGUCGGAUCAAAGCGACCUUAAUCGCACGGUUUUCCUUAAUCCUGUAGGUCGGUGGAGCAUUAUCCGUGAGAUGGAGCCUGAUUGGCCCAGGCAGCAGGGCGGGCACCCUGCCCCCAGGCCCGCUCGGCCUCCCGUUCGUUCUCGUGGCUUCUGGAGUCUUCUAGAUGAUAGAAAAUUGGUGCACACGUUAAUAUCUCUAUGUAAACCCGACGUGUGGGCUUUUCCUCCAUAUUUCCUGAUAACCCCCUGUAGAAAUAGACAAACACCAAAACUUGUGGAAUUCUGUCAGCUAAAACCCUAAGUCUGGGUGUUGGUUGCAUUUGGAUCCUUUUCCAUGAUUAGUUGACGCUUAAAUGUGAGCAUUAAGGACCAUCAACAAGCUCCCCCAAGCGUAACCUUUGCUCGUCCCUGAGCAAAGCUAAAAUCAGCAAGAAAACAGGGGUUACUUUUAUGCCUCUUACUACAGGGUUUUUAAGUUAUCACUAAGGUCUUAAGUGAUUGAAAAACAGAACGAUCAAGUCAAGCACUAUGUCUCAAGUUCUCUGUCUUACCUUUGUUCUGGAGUUUUUUGUAAGUUUCCAAAAUAAAACUGAGGCAUUUGCCUUCUUCUCGAAAGAUAUAUAAGUAGAGCUUUAAAAGUUUUAGCAUACUUACUUUGCAUUUUUGCUAUGUCAAUGCUCGGAGCAAGGGAGAGGAAUGUCAUAUUCCUAGAUCAAGACCUUUGAUCUUUUUUUGAAAAGUUUGUCAUCUAUUACUGGUAUAUUGCUUAUUAAAGGGACCAUGGGCUAUCAUUUUGUUUUCUUUCUUUUUUUCAGUCUCUCUCUCUUUUUUUUCUUCUUUUUUUUCCAGUGGGCAUCAAGUACCCCUAAUUCUACUAUCGGACACGUGUCCAUUUUUUUCACUCAGGUGGGUAUCUUUGUACCCCUAAUUCUACUUCGGAUACUUGUCCAUUUUUACCUUUCGUCUCGCUCUUUUUUUAAUCAAGUUUUUGCAUAGUCCCAUGCCUCUUACGCAAUAAUACUUCGGAAGAGUGAAUCGUUUAUAUUUUUAAAACAAAAAGAUCUUGAUCUUUGGAGCAUGAUAAUUCUCUCAACCAAAACUACAAGAAUUAACAAUGGCUUGAACUAAGCAAGUGCCCAUAGUUUUAAUAUUUAUAUCUUAUAAGACUCUAGGUAUUAUGUCAAACAGGAUAUCUUUUUUUUUGAAUUUUAGAUUUUCAAAAGAUAAAAUCUCCAGAACUCUAGCGAAACUUGGAACAAGUUAAAUAGUAGCUCAGACCUUCUCAUAUUAUGUUUGUCAAUUACCUAGACUUGGAUUAAAUAGUAACUUUCCUUUUAUUUUAUUUAAAACUUAGGAUUACACAAAAUUAUUGUAUAUUACUCAAAAGAAAAACUUUGUUUGGUUUCAUGGUUAUGCAUUUUUUUAUUUAUUUCCGAAUACUAGUAAAUAGAACCAAGAAAGAAAAGUAAUACUUAUCUAGAUACAUGUGAGAGUGCCUCCCCUAAGCUGGAUGUUGAUAUAGUCGUUCACUCUUGUGGCCUGCAUGUUCGGUCUCACUCUUCUUAAGCCUCAAAAUCAUGCACAACCCAAAUAGACAACAAAACUCGUGGAGCAUGUUAAGGGUUAGAUAAUUGUCUAGAGCUUAUAAGAGCUUAGUGGUAGAAUUCUAUGAACUCAAUCACAUCAAGUUCCCCUACCAGGUUGUUUUGUGGCUCGUGAUAGAUUUUCAAGCGUUGACCAUUUACCUUAAAAGUGUUACCUAUGUCGUCUUGGAUGGUAAUGGUUGUUGAUGAUUCUUAAGUAUCAAUUUUAAUUAUUAAAUAAACAAGGGAAAGGACCAAUAUACAAACAACACCUAGAAUUAGGGUUUGAUCUGACAGAAUUUCACGAGUUUUGUUGUUUAUCUGUUUCUGCAGGGGGUUAUCAGGAAAAAUAUGGAAGAAAGGCCCACAUGUCGGGAUUACAUAGAGAUAUCAACGCACCGUGCAAUGUUCUACCAUCUAGAAGACUCCAGAAGCCACGAGAACGAAGCGGAGGCAGAACGGGGCCUGGCCCAGGGCGCCCGGCCUGGGGACUAGGGCGCCCGCCCCCCUCUGGAGUCCAAUCAGGACUCUGUUUCGGGAUUACGCUCCACCGACCUAAAGGAUCAAGGAUAACCGUUCACUCAAUGUCGGUUUGAUCCAACGGCCCGCGUUCACCUGAGGGUACUAUAUAAGCAGACCCCCUGGCCCCUGGGGGAGACACAAGUUCAUCGUAGAGUUGAGGGGAGCCCUUGAAGGAAUACCUCUCCUCUAAAUAGACUUAGGGCUUAGCAUCCAAUGUGACUAGAAUUAGAUCUUCUAGUUUCUACUAGAUUGAGAGAGAUAGAGUGGAGGUGUAGAUCGGAGGAAGCCCGGCCUGUCGGUGUCUACUUCGAGGUUGUACCUGCGGGAUCAAGUUCUCAUAACCCGAAGCUUGCUCCUAGGAUUCUUCAGUAUUUCGACAUCUAAAUUCUAGUAAGUUCUUGUUUUAUUGUUCUUUGGUUUAUGAGUUUACUUUAAUCUCUUCGCGUAGAGUUUAGAGUAAUCAUCUCUAGCGUAGACGUGGUGUUUGGGCUAGGAUACUCAUAGAUAUUCCCUGACUAGCUGGACCGUAGUUGUAGCGACGAACGUGAUAUUUCCGAGUUACCUUUGCAGACCAUAUCUCGUUAGCAGGAAGGAUAGGGUUUAUAGGUGCGGGUUGAACAUCCUCUGUGGUGUCUAGAUUCCGUAAGCUUCCCCAAUAGAACAGUAGAUCAUCCUUACCAAGGUUAGAAAGAGAUUACGGUUGUAGUCUUCUCUAUAUAUCACUCACAUCGAGAAACAUUCUUUGUAGCCUAAAGGUUAGUAGUAAUAGACUGGGUUAGUUAGAUGCACUCUUUCUCCUAGUGGUAAAAAUAUAAAUACGAUACUCUGGAUAACCUCCUGGGUGAAGUGCUCACCGAUAUCCGUGCGCUUGCGGAUAAAUUCCUUAUUGCGUUCCCAAAUAUCAACAUGCAUUUCUGGCGCCGUUGCCGGGGAGAAAGACGGUUUGCUGAGAUAACCUUGAGUCUUACUACUAGCUUGUAUCUAUACUUUUAUCUUUUCUUAUCUUUUAUAUUCUUUUAUUUUCUCUAUUCUUACCUUAUGGAAAACCAAGAUUCUAAAUCAAUCUAUCAAUUUGAAACACCUUUGGAAAGUGACCUUUUACCAUGGGAGUCAUCAGAGCCUAUCCAAACAUCCCAGUAUAGGUUAUGUUCCAGGUUAAUUGCCAUGAUUCAAAACCUAUCUUUUUUAGGAAGGGAAGACGAAAACCCUUUCAUAUUAGAGAUUUUGAGCAAACAUGUGAUUGUCUUCGCAUUGAAGGCAUUUAUAAUAAAACUUUACGUUGGAAGCUUUUUCCUUUUUCUUUAAGGGGAGAAGCUAGACAAUGGUAUAAUCAGAAGGUAAGUCAACCACGAGGUGAAUGGGGAGUUUUACGAGCCAACUUUUGUAUAGAUUUUUAUUCCCUCGACCGUAUCGGCGACCUUAGACUAGAAGUCCUAUCUUUUAAACAAAAAGAUAAUGAAACUUUAGGAAAAUCCUGGAAACGUUUUUCUGAUCUUUUAGAAUCUGGUCCAAAUCUUAAUCUUGAAGUCCCUGUUCUUUUAUUUCACUUUUUCUGAGGUCUUCAGAAAGAUCAUAAACAAAUGCUACAUACAAUGUCUAGAGGUUCUUUCUUUCGCAUCCCUACUGAUGAUGCUAGAGUGAUCCUAGAUAGAAUCCUAGAAGCUGAGAUGGAUAAUACCCUUCAUGAUGAAACCCACGAAGCCGAAGUAGACACUCUGCCAAAUUCUCCAUCUACUUUAGCUAUCCCAAGUUCUGAGCCACAAAAGGAAGAAAUUCCACCACCUGAUUUCAUGCUGGAUAUAGAACCAGAUCUCUUUGCCGAUUUUGGAAACAUUUCAAACUACCAUUCUAUUAACAGACCCCAAAAACAGCCAUUUUAGCAUUUGUUUACCAAGUGAACAUCAAUUAAGAGAGCUUAUCGCAGUCAUGAGUAGCGAAUGGUUGGAGGAAUCAGAGCUUUCCUCUGAUGUGAUCCGUUUGGACACACUUCUAUAACUAUACGCUGUGCUUAUGAUUCUGAUCAAUUUGAUGCUCUCUAUAAUCAUGUUGUGGGGAUCAACAUCAUGUCUGAAUCUUUUGCACUUAAAUUAUUUAAAAAUUUGGUCCUAACCUCCACAACAAGGGUCAUAAAGGAAUCUUCGGGACGAUUAGUCCCCAGUCUUGGAAUUAUUAAUGUCCUACCUUUAUUGGUAGAAGGCUCCAUGGUUCAUUUGAACUUUUAUAUCUUUGAUACAUGGGACUUCGACCUGUUGAUAGGACAACCUUUUAGAAGACUCCUUUAUGAAGGUCAUACUAGAAAGCUACACAUUUCUUUUGGAAAAACUUUUAAAUUUUCCAUAACAAUUUCUCACUCCUUAAAUAAUAAGGCUGAGUCAUAUCUUUUGCCUGAUCCUAUGGAGGAGGUAAAGGCUGCAUCUCUAGAGUUUUUAGAAGAACCAGACUUAGAAGACGAAGCUCCUUUCUUCAUAGAAGAAGAAGAUGAACCAUCUGAACCUGAACCCUUAGAUGAGUUUGCAGAAACGCCUAGACCUCCCAUAGAGCUUAAAACUUUACCACCCUGUCUUAUCUAUGCUUUCCUAAACAAUAAUCCAGAGUUUCCUGUGAUCAUUAGUGAUAAACUCACUCAGGAGCAGACUCUGCGAUUAAUGACCAUUCUUGAGAAACAUCACUCAGUUUUUGGCUACUCACUCCAAGAUCUUACAGGAAUCAGUCCUAUGAUUUGCACCCAUCGUAUUCCAAUAGAUCCUUCUGUUUCACCUUCUCGAGAGCCCCAACGUAGACUUAACAAUGCGAUGAGAGAGGUAGUUAAAAAGGAAGUUAUAAUGUUGCUGCAUGCAGGGAUUAUAUAUCCUGUGCCGCACAGUGAGUGGGUAAGCCCAGUUCAAGUUGUGCCUAAAAAGGGAGGCAUGACUGUCGUUAUGAAUGAAAAGAACGAGCUAAUUCCGCAACGCACCGUCAUAGGGUGGCGGAUGUGCAUAGACUAUAGAAAACUAAACAAAGCCAUGAGAAAGGAUCAUUUUUCUUUACCUUUCAUAGAUGAGAUGCUAGAGCGAUUAGCGAACCAUUCGUUCUUCUGUUUCUUAGAUGGAUAUUGAGGGUAUCACCAGAUCCCGAUCCAUCCCGAUGAUCAAAGCAAAACCACUUUUACAUGCCCAUACGGAACUUAUGCGUACCGUAGAAUGUCUUUUGGGUUAUGUAAUGCACUAGCUUCUUUUCAAAGAUGCAUGAUGUCUAUAUUUUCUGAUAUGAUUGAAGAGAUUAUGGAAGUUUUCAUGGAUGAUUUCUCUAUUUAUGGAAAAACUUUUGAUAGUUGUCUUGAAAACUUAGAUAAGGUUUUGCAAAGAUGUGUAGAAAAGCACUUAGUCCUUAAUUGGGAAAAAUGUCAUUUUAUGGUUAGAGAAGGAAUAGUGCUGGGACACCUAGUGUCUGAAAGAGGUAUUGAGGUAGACAAAGCUAAAAUUGAAGUAAUGGAACAACUACCUCCACCUGUGAAUAUAAGAGGAAUUCGAAGCUUUCUUGGCCAUGCUGGUUUUUAUCGCAGAUUCAUAAAAGAUUUUUCAUUCAUUGCUAGACCACUUACUCUUUUGCUAGCCAAGGAUGCUCCUUUCGAAUUUGAUGAUGCAUGUCUAACAUCUUUCAAUUUAUUAAAGAAAGCACUCAUCUCUGCACCAAUCAUUCAACCCCCUGAUUGGUCGUUUCCUUUUGAAAUUAUGUGUGAUGCUAGUGAUUAUGCUGUGGGGGCAGUUUUGGGACAAACUAAAAAUAACAAGCAUCAUGCAAUUGCUAACGCCAGUAAAACUUUGACAUGAGCUCAACUUAAUUAUGCAACCACUGAAAAAGAGCUUCUGGCUGUUGUUUUUGCCAUUGAUAAAUUUAGAUCUUAUUUAGUUGGAGCUAAAAUAAUUGUUUACACUGAUCAUGCUGCACUAAAAUAUCUGCUCACUAAAUAGAUGCUAAACCUCGCCUGAUUAGAUGGAUCUUAUUACUUCAAGAAUUUGACUUAGAAAUAAAAGCUAAAAAGGGAAUAGAAAAUUCUGUUGCUGAUCGCUUGUCUAGAAUGUAUUUUAAGAGUCCACAGGAAACCCCCAUCAAUGAUUCACUCCGGGACGACAUGCUCUACGGGAUUAACAGGUCUGACCCCUGGUAUGCAGAUAUUGUUAAUUUUAUGGUUUCAGGGUAUGUACCACCAGGAGCAAAUAAGAAGAAGCUUAUUCAAGAAAGUCGUUCACAUAUAUGGGAUGAGCCAUACCUCUUCCAAGUAUGCUCUGAUGGCUUACUCAGGAGAUGUGUGACCACUGAGGAAGGAUGGAAGACCAUCGACAGGUGUCAUUCAUCACCAUAUGAAGGUCAUUAUGGAGCAUUCCGUACACAUUCAAAGUUCUGGCAGUGUGAAUUCUACUGGCCUACGAUGUAUGAAGACACGAAGCAAUAUAUCAGAAGAUGUGGGCCAUGUCAAAGGCACAGAAACAUAAACACAAGAGAUGCCAUGCCACUCACCAACAACCUUUAGAUUGAGCUCUUUGAUGUCUGGCGAAUAGACUACAUGGGUCCAUUUUCCCCAUCAAAGAAGUGUGAAUUCAUCUUGGUGGCAGUUGACUACGUCUCCAAGUGGGUAGAGGCACUACCUUGCAAGCAUGCCGACAACAUCAGUUCAAAGAGGAUGUUUGAAGAAAUUAUAUUUCCAAGAUUUGGAGUUCCCAGAGUAGUGAAAAGUGAUGGAGGAGCACACUUCAUCGACAAACGCUUCAAGCAAUAUCUAUCAAAACAUGGAAUCCGUCACAAUCUUCGCUACCCCCUAUCAUCCUCAGACAAGUGGCCAAGCAGAGACUUCCAACAAGCAAAUCAAGAAUAUUCUUCAGAAGAUAGUGAAUGAAAUGGGAACGGCAUGGAAAGACAAGUUAUCCAAUGCACUCUGGGCAUACCGGACAACAUACAAGACCCCAAUUGGAAUGUCCCCAUACCAAUUGGUGUACGAGAAGACUUGCCACCUACCUGUUGAACUAGAAUUCAAAGCACACUGGGCCAUAAGGAGAAGGAAUAUGGACCUAGAUGUCGCUGGAGAUCAUAGAAGAAUGCAAUUAUCAGAAUUGGAAGAAUGGCGAGAGAAAGCAUAUCAAAAUUCGAAGAUCUACAAACAAAGAGUCAAAAGGUGGCAUGACAAGAGGAUCAAGAAGGACUUCGCACCUGGAGAUAAGGUAUUACUUUUUAAUUCUAGGGUGAAGCUUUUCGGGUAUGGAAAACUCUGGGGUAAGUGGGAAGGACCAUUCAAGGUAAUCAAUUCAUCAUCCCACGGAGCUAUCACUCUUCAAAAUGACGAAGGUACGUUAUCCAAGGUAAAUGGUCAACGUCUUAAAUUAAUUUUAGAGGCCAACAAAGGAUUAGAAGAAAUAGACGUAAUCCAUUUUUACCUUCCCAUGGAGAUUUAGAGCCCAACCUUUUUAAUUUGACGUUUUAGGGCCAUGUAUAUAUUUUCCUAAUAAGUUUUGCAUCUAGAAACACGCUCAAGGAAGCGAGCCCACAGAGGGGCCAGACAUAGGGCGGGCGCCCUGAUGAAUAGGUCGGGCGCCCAGCCCCUGCCCCCUCUCGGUCCCGAUUUCCCCCGUCGCGGAAAACACACAUAUGGUAAACCAAAUAAUCCUUCAGAUGGAAAGUUUCGCACGCACAUCGACGGGAGGAACCCGAACAACCCCUAGAGGCACUUUUUUACCCCUAUAUAAACAGACCCCUGACGUCAGUUUUCAAACACCAAUCUAUUCCAGCCUUCUCUCCUUUUUCAAUUGGAGCUUGCUUAGUUCCUCGCUACUCCAAUGGCCGAAGAGUUCCACGACGAUUGGGAAGUCAUUCCCUACGACGUCAACAAGAAGCCUAAGGAAGACCCCGACGCCCGUGCUCUUGUCCCGGCCAACACAGAGCGGCAGCUAGAAGCCAUGCCAUUACGCCAGCGCAGCUCCGCCCAAUCCUACUAUGCUCAACCAGUUCUCACCGCACCACCACAACCCCUACUUCUCAAGGGACCAUCAGCCAAGAAGGAGACCACCAUCAAGGUGCCAGCCGGUACUAGGAUCCUUCCACCCCGACCCAAUGAGAUGGUCGUUGGAGUCAAGACCAACCGGAGCGGCGAGAUCAGCAGCAUCCGCUACACUACGAAGGAAGAAAGACCUUACUUUGAAGGGAUUAGAGCAGCCAAAUUCUGUUUCAUCCCUCUAGAGGCAGCCCCAAAGCACGCUCUCAAUGCUUUUGAGACACCUCCUAAGUGCCGCAAGACUAUAGUAGAUAUUGAUGAGGACGUUCGCAGGCUAGAUAGAGUCAUCAUAGACCUCCAGUCCUCGGUUAACUCCAUCACUAGGCAGCUCUCUAACCACAACACCGUUAUACUAGGCCUUAGGCAUGAUCAUGCUAGUGCCAAUAAGAAGAUCAGGGAGUUAGAGCGCCGCUAAGUUAUCUAGAUUAGAUCUUGAGGCAAUGCAUCUUAGUUAUUUACCUUUAAAUUCGGUUUAGAUUUACUAUUAUCGUCAGUUUGCUACUAGUUAUUUGUAAUAAAUGCCUCGAGAUUAAUAAAGAGUAUUAUUAUUAUGUCUUGUGUGUCUCUACUUUAUUUUUGUGCAAGAAAGCAGAAAACAAGUAUGGGGGAGAUCCCUCGACAUGCCAAACACACUCCGACUACAUCACUCCACGAUUCAGGUACAUACUCUGCACACUUUACUUUACACAUAUACAUAUAUAUCUUGGAUUAUGCAGAAUGUUGUCUCCGACAUGAUAAAUUAAAAAGAUUAAAAUGUUUCUAAUCAUGAUUAAUCUCACACUGUGAUAUUUCCUGAAAACCUGCAAUUAUUGAAAAAUCAUUUGAAAACCCUGUGUUACUUAAGUCAUUGUGGAAUGUAAGAUGGUAGAGUACGAGUACCUUAUUCUUGAUACCAAUGUUGCUUGGAUAAUUUAUUCAAAAAAAUUCUAGCUACAAUCCUCAGUGUUUUAUAUGCCUGAUAAACCUAAAAAUAUAUUAAAUAUAAAAGCUAUCUACUCUGUAUUGAGUUUAUUCAAAAUGAGUUAGACCCUUGAUGAGAGAUUUAUCAUGCUCCAAAGAUCAAGACAUUAUUUCAGAAAGAUUCACUCUUUCGAAGUAUUAUUGCAUUAGAGGCAUGGGCUAUGCAAAAAUAAGGAUAUUUCGAGGAAAUAAAAAGGAGCAAGUGCUCGAUAACCUCGCAGAAAAAAAUGGACAAGUGUCCGGCACUAGAAUUAGGGGGUACCUCGGUAUCCACUUAAAAAAAGAGAGAAGAAAAAGAAAAUGAUAGCCCAUGGUCCCUCUAAUAAGCAAUUUGUCAGUAAGAGUUGACAAGUUUUUAAUUUCCAGAAGUCUUUGAUCUAAGAGUAUGGCAUUCCUCUCCUCUUAUCCUGUUUUGAUCAGGCAAUAAAUGCAAAGUAAGUAUGCUUGAGAAUUUUUGCAAAUUAAGACAGCCUCAGUGAGAUAUAUAAAAGAUAAAUGAGUGAUUUGAGAGAACCUAUGAUGACAAAAGGUAUGCUAAUUCCUUUUCAAAAAUAUACAAAAACUCCAAGUGACAGGAUUGAAAGGAAGAAAGGAUCUCUACUCUUGAUCAUAUAUUUCCCUGACUACAGUAUACAGUGAAUUUUUACAACACCCUGCUGGUAUGAAGAGAAUGCUUUACAAUGUUUUAACCCUAGAUAUUUUUCUUAACCAUCCUUCUCUCGAGGACGAGUAAAAGCCUAAGUAUGGUGGUAUUUGUUGACGGUUCUUAAGUACCAAUUUAAAUUAUUAAAUAAACAAGGGAAAGGACCAAUAUACAAACAACAUCUAGAAUUAGGGCUUGAUCUGACAGAAUUCCACGAGUUUUGUUGUUUAUCUGUUUCUGUAGGAGGUUAUCAGGAAAUAUGAAAGAAAGACCCACAUGUCGGGAUUACAUAUAGAUAUCAACGUACCGCGUAAUUUUCUACCAUCUAGAAUUCUCCAGAAGCCAGGAGAACGAAACGGAGGCAGAACGGGGACUAGCCCAGGGCGCCCGCACUAGGGACCAGGGCGCCCGCCCCCCUCUACAGUCCAAUCAGGACUCUCUUUCGGGAUUACGCUCCACCGACCUAAAGGAUAAAGGAUAAUCGUUCAAUCAAUGUCGGUUUGAUCCAACGGCCCACGUUCACCUGAGGGGACUAUAUAAGUAGACCCCCUGGCCCCUGGAGGAGACACAAGUUCAUCAUAGAGUUGAGAGGAGCCCUCGAAGGAAUACCUCUCCUCUAAAUAGACUUAGGGCUUAGCAUCCAAUGUGAGUAGAAUUAGAUCUUCUAGUUUCUACUAGAUUGAGAGAGAUAGAGUGGAGGUGUAGAUCGGAGGAAGCCCGGCCUGUCGGUGUCUACUCCGAGGUUGUACCUGCAGGAUCAAGUUCUCAUAACCCGAAGCUUGCUCCUAGGAUUCUGACUUCUAAAUUCUAGUAAGUUCUUGUUUUAUUGUUCUUUGGUUUACGAGUUUACUUUAAUCUCUUCGCGUAGAGUUUAGAGUAAUCAUCUCUAGCGUAGACGUGGUGUUUGGGCUAGGAUACUCACAGAUAUUCCCAGACUAGCUGGACCAUGGUAGUAGCGAGGAACGUGACAUUUCCGAGUUACCUUUGCAGACCAUAUCUCGUUAGCAGGAAGGAUAGGGUUUAUAGGUGCGGGUUGAACAUCCUCUGUGGUGUCUAGAUUCCGUAAGCUUCCCCAAUAGAACAGUAGAUCAUCCUUACCAAGGUUAGAAAGAGAUUACGGUUGUAGUCUUCUCUAUAUAUCACCCACAUCGAGAACAUUCUUUGUAGCCUAAAGGUUAGUAGUAAUAGACUGGGUUAGUUAGAUGCAGUCUUUCCCCUAGUGGUAAAAAUAUAAAUACGAUACUCUGGAUAACAUCCUGGGUGAAGUGCUCACCAAUAUCCGUGUGCUUGCAGAUCAAUUCCUUUUUGCGUUCCCAAAUAUCAACAAUGGCUCCAUGAGUUGAAGUGUCAAUAACCUUGUAUGGUCCAUCCCACUUACUUCGUAGCUUACCAUGCCCAAAGAGCUUAACUCUUGAAUUGAAUAGUAGAACCUUAUCUCCAGGCUUAAACUCCUUGUGCUUGAUUCUCUUAUCAUACCAUUGUUUUGUUCUCUCUUUAUAGAUCCUUGAAUUGUGGUAGGUGUUGACGGUCCUUAACUACCAAAUAUAAUCAUCAAAUAAAUAAAGAAAAAGAUCCAAAUACAACCAACACCCAAACUUAGGGUUUUAUCUGACAGAAUUCCAUGAGUUUUGGUGUUUGUCUAUUUCUAUAGGGGGUUAUCAGGAAAUAUGGAGGAAAGGCCCACAUGUCGGGUUUACAUAGAGAUAUUAACAUGCCACGCAAUUUUCUAUCAUCUAGAAGACUCGAGAAGCCAUGGGAACGAACGGGAAGGCGAUCGGGCCCGGGUACAGGGCGCCCGCCCUCCCCCCUAAGGCGCCCGCCCUGAGUUAGAGUCCAAUCAGGACCCGUCUCGCGAAUUACGCUCCACCGACCUAAAGGAUCAAGGAUAAUCGUUCAGUCAAUGUCGGUUUGAUCCGACGGCCCAGAUUCACUUUAGAGGACUAUAUAAGUAGACCCCCUGGCCCCUGGAGGAGAACAAGUUCAUUGUAGAGUUGAGAGGUGCCCACGAAGGAUAACCUUUCCUCUACAUAGAUAGAGCAAAACCUAGGGUUUGGAGAUGAGAGCUCUACUCUCACCUCUAAACUAGGGUAGAUCUAGAUAGUAGUGAGCUGGAGAGCGAGGCAGGAUUGGAGGAGAGGCCGGCCUGUCGGUUCUUCCUCGGUUGUACUUUGCCAUGAUCGAGUUCUAAUCAAGCUUGCUCAUGGGAUGACUCUGGUAAUCUACUUCUAUUUCAUUAUGCAAUUACUAUUCAUGUAUGUUCUGGUUCACAUCUCUUUUGAGUACUUUUGAUCUAUAGGACCCUAUAGGUUAGAGUUGCAGUAUAGGUGUAAGCGUGGUGCUUAGACCUAGAUUACUUGUGGAUAUCCCCUGUCUAGCUGGAUCGUGUGGUAGGUCGCGUAGGUGACAGUAACGUUGGUCCCCUGUAGUCCACCUCUUGUUAGCAGGACGGGUAGGGUUUAUCGGCCUAUGGAUAAGCAUCCUUUGUGGUGUAUUCUUAUCACGUAGUUCGUCCCAGACAUAGACAUACCCCUUUGAAGUAGAGAAACCAUAGUUAUCCUCUCUAUUCUCCAACCAUCGCCCAUAUAUUAGAUUGCUCUACUCUAUAUUCCCCCAUUAUCAUUUUACCUUUAAUGUUGUUCUUAUUCAAUUCUACCACCUUUCCUAUUUACACUUACCCAUCUAUCUAGGUUUAGUUAGAGCGUAGAUCAGUUCUCCCAUUUCCCUGUGGAUACGAUAAAACCUUUAACCGGGUGUUGAUAUUUGGGAACGCAAUAAGGAAUUGAUCCGUAAGCGCGCGGAUAUCGGUGAGCACUUCACCCGGGAUAUUAUCCAGAGUAUCGUAUUAAUAUUUUUACCACUAUGAGAAAGAGUGCAUCUGACUAACCCAGUCUAUUACUACUAACCUUUAGGCUACAAAGAAUGUUUCUCGAUGUGAGUGAUAUAUAGAGAAGACUACAACCGUAAUCUCUUUCUAACCUUAGUAAGGAUGAUCUACUGUUCUAUUGGGGAAGCUUAUGGAAUCUAGACACCACAGAGGAUGUUCAACCCGCACCUAUAAACCCUAUCCUUCCUGCUAACGAGAUAUGGUUUGCAAAGGUAACUCGGAAAUGUCACAUUCCUCGCUACUAUCACGGUCCAGCUAGUUAGGGGAUAUCUGUGAGUAUCGUAGCCCAAACACCACGUCUACGCUAGAGAUCAUUACUCUAAACUCUACGCGAAGAGAUUAAAGUAAACUCACAAACCAAAGAACAAUAAAACAAGAACUUACUAGAAUUUAGAAGUCGAAAUACUGAAGAAUCCUAGGAGCAAGCUUCUGGUUAGGAGAACUUGAUCCCAUAGGUACAACCUCGGAGUAGACACUAACAGGCUGGGCUUCCUCCAAUCUACACCUCCACACUAUCUCUCUCAAUCUAGUAGAAACUAGAAGAUCUAAUUCUACUCACAUUGGAUGCUAAGCCCUAAGUCUAUUUAGAGGAGAGGUAUUCCUUCGAGGGCUCCUCUCAACUCUAUGAUGAACUUGUUCUCCUCCAGGGGCCAGGGGGUCUGGUUUUAUAGUCCCCUCAGGUAAACGUGGGCCGUUGGAUCAAACCGACAUUGAUUGAACGGUUAUCAUUGAUCCUUUAGGUCGGUGGAGCUUGAUCCAUGAAGAGAGUCCUGAUUGGACUCCAGAGGGGGGCGGGCGCCCUGGUCCCUAGGGCGGGCGUCCUAGGCCAGGCCCCUUUCAGUCUCCGCUUUGUUCCUGUGGCUUCUGGAGUCUUCUAGAUGGUAGAAAAUUGCGCGGUGCGUUGAUAUCUCUAUGUAAUCCCGACAUGUGGGCCUUUCUUCCUUAUUUCCUGAUAACCCCCUACAGAAACAGAUAAACAACAAAACUCAUGGAUUGUAGGUAGAAUUUUUGAAUAAAUUCUCCAAGCAACAAUAAUUUCAAGAAUAAGAAACUCAUACUCUACCAUCUCACAUUCCACAAUGACUUAAGUAACACAGGGUUUUAAAAUGAUUUUUCAAUAAUUGCAGGUUUUCAGGAAAUAUUACAGAGUGAGAUUAAUCAUGAUUAGAAACAUUUUAAUCUUUUUAAUUUAUCAUAUCGGAGACAAUAUUCUGCAUAAUCCAAGAUGUGUAUGUGUAAAGUGUGUAGAGUAUGUACCUGAAUCGUGGAGUGAUGUAGUCAGAGUGUGUUUGGCAUGUCGAGGGAUCUCCCCCAUACUUGUUUCCUGCUUUCUUGUAUAAAAAUAAAGUAGAGACACACAAGACAUAUUAAUAAUAAUAAUACUCUUUAUUAAUCUUGAGGCAUUUAUUACAAAUGACUAGUAGCAAACUGACGAUAAUAGUAAAUCUAAACCGAAUUUAGAGAUAAAUAACUAAGAUGCAUUGCCUCAAGAUCUAAUCUAGAUAACUUAGCAGCGCUCUAACUCCCUGAUCUUCUUAUUGGCACUAGCAAGAUCAUGCCUAAGACCUAGUAUCACGGUGUUGUGGUUAGAGAGCUGCAUAGUGAUGGAGUUAACCGAGGAGUGGAGGUCUAUGAUGACCCUGUCUAGCCUGCAAACGUCCUCAUCAAUAUCUACUAGUCUUGCGACGCUUAGGAGGUGUCUCAAAAGCAUUGAGAGCGUGCUUCGGGGUUGCCUUUGGAGGGAUGAAACAGACUUUAAAGUAAGGUCUCUCCACCUCCGUAGUGUAGCGGAUGCUGCUGAUCUAGCUGCUCCGGUUGGUCUUGACUCCAACGACCCUCUCAUUGGGUCUAGGUGGAAGGAUCCUCGUACCGGCUGGCACCUUGAUGGUGGUCUCCUUCUUGGAUGAUGGUCCAUUGGGAAGUAGGGGUUGUGGCGGUGCGGUGAGAACUAGUUGAGCAUGGUAGGAUUGGGCGGAGCUGCGCUGGCGUAAUGGCAUGGCUUCUAGCUGUCGCUCUGUUUUGGCCGGGAUGAGAGCACGGGCGUCGGGGUCUUCCUUAGGCUUCAUGUUGAGGUUGAAGGGGACGACUUUCCAAUCGUCAUGGAACUCUUCGGCCAUUGGAGCAGCGAUGGACUAAACAAGCUCUAAUUAAAGAAGAAGAGAAGGCUUGGAUAGAUUGGUGUUUGAAAACUGACGUCAGGGGUCUGUUUAUAUAGGGGUCAAAAAGUGCCUCUAGGGGUUGUUCGGGUUGCUCCCGUCGAUGUGCGUGCGAAACUUUCCAUCUGAAGGAUUAUUUGGUUUACCAUAAGUGUGUUUUCCGUGAUGGGGGAAAUCGGGACCGAGAGGGGUCAGGGGCUGGGCGCCCGCCCUCUUCAUCAGGGCGCCCGCCCUGUGUCUAGCCCCUUUGUGGUCCCGCUUCCUCGAGCGUGUUUCUAGAUGCAAAACUUAUUAGGAAAAUAUAUACAUGGCCCUAAAACGUCAUAUUAAAAAGGUUGGGCUCUAAAUCUCCGUGGGAAGGUAGAAAUUGAUUACGUCUAUUUCUUCUAAUUCUUUAUUGGGCUCUAAAAAUAAUUUAAGACGUUGACCAUUUACCUUGAAUAACGUACCUUCAUCAUUUUGAAGUGUGAUAGCUCCGUGGGAUGAUGAAUUGAUUACCUUGAAUGGUCCUUCCCAUUUACUCCGGAGUUUUCCAUGCCCGAAAAGCUUCACCCUGGAAUUGAAAAGUAAUACCUUAUCUCCGGGUGCGAACUCCUUCUUCUUGAUCUUCUUGUCAUGCCACCUUUUGACUCUUUCUUUGUAGAUCUUCGAAUUGUGAUAUGCUUUCUCUCGCCAUUCUUCCAAUUCUGAUAGUUGCAUUCUUCUAUGAUCUCCAGCAACAUCUAGGUCCAUAUUCCAUCUACUUAUGGCCCAAUGUGCUUUGAAUUCUAGUUCAAUAGGUAGGUGGCAAGUCUUCCCGUACACCAAUUGGUAUGGGGACAUUCCAAUUGGGGUCUUGUAUGCUGUCCGGUAUGCCCAGAGUGCAUCAGGUAACUUGUCUUUCCAUGCCGUUCCCAUUUCAUUGACUGUCUUCUGUAGAAUAUUCUUGAUUUGCUUGUUGGAAGUCUCUGCUUGGCCACUUGUCUGAGGAUGAUAGGGGGUAGCGACGUUGUGACGGAUUCCAUGUUUUGAUAGAUAUUGCUUGAAGGGUUUGUCGAUGAAGUGUGCUCCUCCAUCACUUAUCACUACUUUGGGAACUCCAAAUCUUGGAAAUAUAACUUCUUCAAACAUCCUUUUUGAACUAAUGUUGUCGGCGUGCUUGCAAGGUAAUGCCCCUACCCACUUGGAGACGUAGUCAACUGCCACCAAGAUGAACUCACACUUCUUUGAUGGGGGAAAAGGACCCAUGUAAUCUAUUCCCCAGACAUCAAAGAGCUCAAUUUGGAGGUUGUUGGUGAGUGGCAUGACAUCUCUUGUGUUUAUGUUUCCGUGUCUUUGACAUGGCCCACAUCUUCUGAUAUAUUGCUUCGUGUCUUCAUACAUUGUAGGCCAGUAGAUUCCACACUGCCAGAUCUUUGAAUGUGUACGGAAUGCUCCAUAAUGACCUCCAUAUGGUGAUGAAUGACAUCUGUCGAUGAUCUUCCAUCCUUCCUCGGUGGUCACACACCUCCUGAGUAUGCCAUCAGAGCAUACCCGGAAGAGGUAUGGCUCAUCCCAUAUAUGUGAACGACUUUCUUGAAUAAGCUUCUUCUUGUUUGCUCCUGGCGGUACAUAUCCUGAAACCAUAAAAUUAACAAUAUCUGCAUACUAGGGGUCAGACCUGUUCAUCCCAUAGAGCAUGUCGUCCCGGAGUGAAUCAUUGAUGGGGGUUUCCUCCGGACACUUAAAAUACAUUCUAGACAAGUGAUCAGCGACAGAAUUUUCUACUCUUUUAUUUCUAAGUCAAAUUCUUGAAGUAAUAAGAUCCAUGUAAUCAGGCGAGGUUUAGCAUCUUUUUUAGUGAGCAGAUAUUUUAGUGCAGCAUGAUCAGUGUAAUCAAUUAUUUUAGCUCCAACUAAAUAAGAUCUAAAUUUAUCAAUGACAAAAACAACAGCCAGAAGCUCUUUUUCAGUGGUUGCAUAAUUAAGUUGAGCUCAUGUCAAAGUUUUACUGGCGUUAGCAAUUGCAUGAUGCUUCUUAUUUUUAGUUUGUCCCAAAACUGCCCCCACAGCAUAAUCACUAGCAUCACACAUAAUUUCAAAAGGAAACGACCAAUCAGGGGGUUGAAUGAUUGGUGCAGAGAUGAGUGCUUUCUUUAAUAAAUUGAAAGAUGUUAGACAUGCAUCAUCAAAUUCGAAAGGAGCAUCCUUGGCUAGCAAAAGAGUAAGUGGUCUAGCAAUGAAUGAAAAAUCUUUUAUGAAUCUGCGAUAAAAACCAGCAUGGCCAAGAAAGCUUCGAAUUCCUCUUAUAUUCACAGGUGGAGGUAGUUGUUCCAUUACUUCAAUUUUAGCUUUGUCUACCUCAAUACCUCUUUCAGACACUAGGUGUCCCAGCACUAUUCCUUCUCUAACCAUAAAAUGACAUUUUUCCCAAUUAAGGACUAAGUGCUUUUCUUCACAUCUUUGCAAAACCUUAUCUAAGUUUUCAAGACAACUAUCAAAAGUUUUUCCAUAAACAGAGAAAUCAUCCAUGAAAACUUCCAUAAUCUCUACAAUCAUAUCAGAAAAUAUAGACAUCAUGCAUCUUUGAAAAGAGGCUAGUGCAUUACAUAACCCAAAAGACAUUCUACGGUAAGCAUAAGUUCCAUAUAUGGGCAUGUAAAAGUGGUUUUGCUUUGAUCAUCGGGAUGGAUCGGGAUCUGGUGAUACCAUGAAUAUCCAUCUAAGAAAUAGAAGAACGAAUGGUUCGCUAAUCGCUCUAGCAUCUCAUCUAUGAAAGGUAAAGGAAAAUGAUCCUUUCUUGUGGCUUUAUUUAGUUUUCAAUAGUUUAUGCACAUCCGCCACCCAGUGAUGGUGCGUUGCGGAAUUAGCUCGUUCUUUUCAUUCAUAAUGAUAGUCAUACCUCCCUUUUUAGGCACAACUUGAACUGGGCUCACCCACUCACAGUGCGGCACAGGAUAUAUAAUCCCUGCAUACAGCAACUUUAUAACUUUCUUUUUAACUACCUCUCUCAUCGUGUUGUUAAGUCUACGUUGGGGUUCUCGAGAAGGUGAAACAGAAGGAUCUGUCGGAAUACGAUGGGUACAAAUCAGGUCUUGGAGUGAGUAGCCAAAAACUGAGUGAUGUUUCUCAAGAAUGGUCAUUAAUCGUAGAGUUUGCUCCUGAGUGAGUUUAUCACUAAUGAUCACAGGAAACUCUGGAUUAUUGUUUAAGAAAGCAUAGAUAAGACCGGGUGGUAAAGUUUUAAGCUCUAUGGGAGGUUUAGGCGUUUCUGCAAACUCAUCUAAGGGUUCAGGUUCAGAAGGUUCGGCCUCUUCUUCUGUGAAGAAAGGACCUUUGUCUUCUAAGUCUGGUUCUUCUAAAAGCUCUAAAGAUGCAGCCUUUACCUCCUCCAUAGGAUCAGGCAAAAGAUAUGACUCGGCCUUAUUAUUCAAGGAGUGUGGAAUUGUUAUGGGAAAUUUAAAAGUUUUUCCAAAAGAAAUGUGUAGCUUUCUAGUAUGACCUUCAUAAAGGAGUCUUCUAAAAGGUUGUCCUAUCAACAGGUCGAAGUCUCAUGUAUCAAAGAUAUAGAAAUUCAAAUGAACCAUGGAGCCUUCUACCAUAAGGGGUAGGACAUUAAUAAUUCCAAGACUGGGGACUAAUCGUCCCAAAGAUUCCUUUAUGACCUUUGUUGUGGGGGUUAAGACCAAAUUUUCAAAUAAUUUGAGUGCAAAAGAUUCAGACAUGAUGUUGAUCCCCACAACAGGAUUAUAGAGAGCAUUAAAUCGAUCUGAAUCAUAAGCACAACGUAUAGUUAUAGUGGGUGUGUCCAAACAGAUCACAUCAGAGGAAAGCUCUGAUUCCUCCAACCAUUCGCUACUCAUGACUGCGAUAAGCUCUCUCAAUUGAUGUUCACUUGGUAAACAAAUGCUAAAAUGGCCGUUUUGAGGUUUGUCAAUAGAAUGGUAAUUUGAAAUGUUUCCAUAAUCGGCAAAAAGAUCAUAUUCUAUAUCCAGCAUUAAAGGAGGUGGUGGAAUUUCUUCCUUUUGUGGCUCAGAACUUGGGAUAGCUAAAGUAGAUGGAGAAUUUGGCAGAGUGUCUACUUCGGCUUCGUGGGUUUCAUCAUGAAGGGUAUUAUCCAUCUCAGCUUCUAGGAUUCUAUCUAAGAUCACUCUAGCAUCAUCAGUAGGGAUACGAAAGAAAGAACCUCUAGACAUUGUAUGUAGCAUUUGUUUGUGAUCUUUCUGAAGACCUCGAAAAAAGUGAAAUAAAAGAACAGGGUCUUCAAGAUUAAGGUUUGGACCAGAUUCUAAAAGAUCAGAAAAACGUUUCUAGGAUUUUCCCAAAGUUUCAUUAUCUUUUUGUUUAAAAGAUAGGACUUUGAGUCUAAGGUCGCCGAUACGGUCGAGGGAAUAAAAAUCUAGACAAAAGUUGGCUAGUAAAACUCCCCAUUCACCUCGUUGUUGACUUACCUUCUGAUUAUACCAUUGUCUAGCUUCUCCCCUUAAAGAAAAAGGAAAAAGCUUCCAACGUAAAGUUUUAUCAUAAAUGGCUUCAAUGCGAAGACAAUCACAUGUUUGCUCAAAAUCUCUAAUAUGAAGGUAAGGGUUUUCAUCUUCCUUUCUCGAAAAGGAUAGGUUUUGAAUCAUGGUAAUCAACCUAGAACUUAACCUAUACUGGGAUGUUUGGAUAGGCUAUAAUGACUCCCAUGGUAAAAGGUCAUUUAGUGAAGGUGUUGCAAAUUGGUAGAUUGAUUUAGAAUCUUGGUUUUCCAUAAGGUAAGAGUAAAGAAAAUAAAAGAAUAUAAGAGAUAAGAAAAGAUAAAAGUAUAGAUACAAGCUAGUAGUAAGACUCAAGGUUAUCUCAGCAAACCGUCUUUCUCCCCGGCAACGGCGCCAGAAAUGCUUGUUGAUAUUUGGAAACGCAAUAAGGAAUUGAUCCGCAAGCGCAUGGAUAUCGGUGAGCACUUCUCCCGGGAUAUUAUCCAGAGUAUCCUAUUUAUAUUUUUACCACUAGGAGAAAGAGUGCAUCUGACUAACCCAGUCUAUUACUACUAACCCUUAGGCUACAAAGAAUGUUUCUCGAUGUGGGUGAUAUAUAGAGAAAACUACAACCGUAAUCUUUUCCUAACCUUGGUAAGGAUGAUCUACUGUUCUAUUGGGGAAGCUUACGGAAUCUAGACACCACAGAGGAUGUUCAACCUGCACCUAUAAACCCUAUCCUUCCUGCUAACGAGAUAUGGUUUGCAAAGGUAACUCGGAAAUGUCACGUUCCUCGCUACUACCACGGUCCAGCUAGUCAGGGGAUAUCUAUGAGUAUCCUAGCCCAAACACCACAUCUACGCUAGAGAUGAUUACUCUAAACUCUACGCGAAGAGAUUAAAGUAAACUCAUAAACCAAAGAACAAUAAAACAAGAACUUACUAGAAUUUAGAAGUCGAAAUACUUAAGAAUCCUAGGAGCUAGCUUCUGGUUAGGAGAACUUGAUCCCGCAGGUACAACCUCAGAGUAGACACCGACAGGCCCGGCUUCCUCCGAUCUACACCUCCACUCUAUCUCUCUCGAUCUAGUAGAAACUAGAAGAUCUAAUUCUACUCACAUUGGAUGCUAAGCCCUAAGUCUAUUUAGAGGAGAGGUAUUCCUUCGAGGGUUCCUCUCAACUCUAUGAUGACCUUGUUCUCCUCCAGGGGCCAGGGGGUCUGGUUUUAUAGUCUCCUCAGGUAAACGUGGGCCGUUGGAUCAAACCGACAUUGAUUGAACGAUUAUCCUUUAUCCUUUAGGUCGGUGGAGCUUGAUCCGCGAAGUGAGUCCUGAUUGGACUCCAGAGGGGGCGGGCGCCCUAGUCCCUAGGGCGGGCGCCCUGGGCUAGGCCCCUUUCGGUCUCCGCUUUGUUCCUGUGGCUUCUGGAGUCUUCUAGAUCGUAGAAAAUUGCGCGGUGCGUUGAUAUCUCUAUGUAAUCCCGACAUGUGGGCCUUUCUUCCUUAUUUCCUGAUAACCACCUGCAGAAACAGAUAAACAACAAAACUCGUGGAAUUCUAUCAGAUCAAACCCUAAUUCUAGGUGUUGGUUGCAUAUUGGUCCUUUCCCUUGUUUAUUUGAUAAUUAAAAUUGAUACUUAAGAACCGUCAACACCGCGUAAAAGCUACAACGGUAUCAAUGCGCUUGCGGAUUUAUGUGUGUGCGUAUAAAUACCAUCGUACACUCUAGUGCCAUGCUGGGGAUGACAACCUAGUAUUCAAGUGGUGUUAGCAAGUGUCAACAAGCUUUUUUGGCGCCGUUGCCGGGGAAACGGUUGCUGAGUUGACUACGAACUAGCUAUUUUCUAAAAAAUAAUAAAAAAAUAUACUUUUCCUUUUAUCCUUUGCCUUAUCUCUGCUAUUCUUUCUUCUUAUCUAAUCCUUGAUUUCUGGUCUAUCAUUAAUGCAAACAUGUCUAUCUAUCAGUUUCAUAGACCUACGGGCAAACAUCUCGAACCACCAAAAUCUUCAAAGCCUAUCAUAGCAUCUAGUUUUGAGAUAGACCCCAAAUACAUAGAAUUUGUUCAAAAACAACCUUUCUCAGGAGAAGGUGAGGAAAACCCAUACACACACCUAAGAGAGUUUUAUCGAGUCUGUGACCUCCUUCGCAUAGAAGGCAUGUCCGAUGAGACCCUUAAAUGGAAGCUCUUUCUGUUCUCUUUAACAGGAAAAGCUAGACAUUGGUACAAACUCAGAGUAGGGAGUGUUCAUGGAGAUUGGAAGGAGUUAUAUAAUAGUUUUCUUUUUAAAUAUUUUCCAAUCUCCAAAGUGGUGGAACUUCGGCGUGAGAUUCUUUCUUUUAGACAACUGGAAGAAGAAUCUCUCGGCAAAUCAUGGGACCGCUUUAUUAACGUUACUCUCACUGGUCCAAAGCUUUCUAUUCCAGAAGACGUUCUUCUAAUUCACUUUUUUGAGGGCCUUAAUAGGGAGAAUAAGCAAACCGUGAAUAUAGCCUCUAGAGGAUCCUUCUAUCACCUACCUGCUAGUGAAGCUAGGGAUUUAAUUGAUUCAUUGAGUGGAAAGUUUCCUAGCACUUAUAUCCCUAAGAAAGAGAAAGAACUAGUUCCUAGACAAGAAGAAGAAGUUUCGAUAGCCAGAUCACAACCACUUCAAUUCCAAACUUUAGCUAUCGAUCAUAAACCAUCAAUAUCCCAAAAUUCUCCAAGGGAGGAAGGAAUUCCGACCUUAAAUCUUUCAAAUGCUGAUGGUUUAGACUUCUGGUUCCAUAAGAGACCUUCAAGCAGGGAUAAUUCAAAUCCUUGCAAUAACGGUUCUCUUAGAGAAUGUCCUGGUUCCUGUUAUGAAGAAGUUGAGGAUGACAUAUCAAGUGAAGGAGAGCUAAACCAUAUAGAAAAUUCUAUCUGCUCCCCUUCCAUGUUCACAAAUUCUAAAUCCAUCCUUGACCUUAGAGACCCCUCUUAUCCCUCUCCUUUUAAGUCUCAUGAUGAUCCUAGCAAUCCACCAAGACGACCAAACUAUAGGAGUCAUGAAGACCAUAAGGAUGGCAUGCCAAGUAAUGCCAUAGAAGGAGAGCUAAGCCAUAGAGAAGAUUCUAUCAGCUCCCCUGUCUUGAUCACAAGUUCUAAAUGGCAGAAAUGUGUAGAAUGGAUGGAUAUGGAUGAAGCCUUAAUGGGUUCUGACUUUGGCUCAAUUUCAAAUGGUGAGUUCUUGACUCCCUUUCAAGAUGAGAUGCAUCCAACUACAGAAGAGGACAUAGGUGAGACCAAUCCAGGAGAAACUCCGAACAUUCAGAUAGGAGACGAAGAUAACAUUAAUGAUCAUGGAAUUUAUUUCAUAGCCAUCUCGUUUACUCCAUGCUCAUAUGCAACAUCUUCCCAAUCUAUUGGUCUCUCCAACGUCACCACAUUUGAGAUCUCCAACCCCCUCUUCCUUUCUAUUUAUAAAAACAUUAAAAGGGCGGUUGACGAUGCAUAUGUCUAUAAUAAGUUGAUCUUGAUAUAGGUCAGCGAUUGGAAGGGAAACCACUUCGCCGACAUAAAUUGAUGGUUUCCUAAGGACAAGCUUGGUGUCCUAAAACAAGCACUGAUCAGAUCGUAACAUGAGCUUUUAAUUAUUUGCAACAUUACCUUGCGUAUUGAGCAUAUAAGGAUAAUUGUAAAAAUAUUCCUUCGGGUAUUCUUGACACUAACCUUUCCAGGAUUGGAGCAAGAAAAUCGGAUGAAUGACAAGCACAAGGUAUGUCCAACCGAUCAUCAUACAACAUUGAAUUAAAUUCAUCCAAACUUGAAUUUUGCAAAAUUCAAGCUUGGGGGAGUACCUAACAUAAAAACAUCCUUUGUCAUGUUGCUAUGUUGGUUGUCCCUACCUUUGAGACAUGCUCAAUUUGUUAAAUACUAAUCACACUACUUCAUCUCCACUUGAGUAGAUCUCUAUAAAUGCCAUCACGCUACCUUUGUUUAUCCUAGUAAGUGUUAGUUUGGAAGUACUGCACAUACUUCUAUUGGCUUUUAAAUUAAGCAUGGUGCUUAGGUUAAACAGCCUUCCUUAAUCUGAUUAGACAUGGAGUCUAGUUCGGUUAUUGAACUAAAAACUACUUGUGUAGACAUUGGUAUAUUUUGUCAGACUAACCCCUGCAGAAAAACUUUCAAUAUCGAUUUGGGAAGUCCUGAGAUAAAUUCACAUCAGAGAUGAAGAGAGAGACACAUGAAGUUUAAAAAUUUGCACAAGAAGGACAUAGCUCAUUCAUCAUAGAGAGAUGAUCCAUGGAAGGAGACAAAGUACAUAAACAAGAUACACAACCACUAUGAAUGGGAAGCUUCCACAAGGUGAGAUAGUACCAUCACACUUCAAUUAAGGUAACAUCUUAAGAUAUGUGACUAUCACUUUUAUAAGCUUUUCCUUGGUUCUAGCAUUCACAUAAAUAAAGAGACAAACAUGUAUGAUUUAUAACUCCAAAUUAACCAACCCAACUGAUUCAGCAUGUUUAGUCCUUUAAUCUUUGUUCCUAGUACUACCUCCAUGAUCCCACACUCCUAAUCAUAUGAGCUAAAAUGUUACACAUUCAAUCUUUAAGAGAUAUAAAGGAAAAGACAUAUAAAUAGAUAGAUUAUCUUUCCAUAAGGUUGAAGCGAUCUGAUCUGACAAAUGUUAUAAGUGCUACACUCAUGAACUUAUCAUCCAUCAACUUUGUCCUGCUCACUAUGCUUAAGGUUAGAGAAGAACAAAUACACUUUUGGUUCUGUUGGUGUUUUCCACCAACAGGGCCCAUGCACUUCAUCUCUGCCUUGUCUCUAUGAGCAGGUACACUUUUAGCAAAACAUGGAGGAGUUUUAUAACUCUCAGAUUCCACCAAUUGAAGGACCUAGAUCUACGAGCACAAACACACUGAGCAGAAUGCUGCCAACACCGCACUUCGAACUGCUGAGC
rnacentral:lncRNA from 1 species